rnacentral:lncRNA from 1 species
UCAAUUUUAUUACUUGUUUAAUUAUUUUUGGUUAUGAUUUUCUAUUUUGAAAUAUUAACAAAUAUGCAAGGGAUUUUUGACAUUAAACUUCAUGAAAUGAACAGGAAUCUGGGAAAUAAAGAAACAUAACAUAAUACAAGAGGAAGAGCCUUCACAAAGGCUGCUUGGGAGAGGUCGUAGUAGUCGGCGGAGUCGCAGUAGUUGGCGGAGUCUCAGUAGUCGGUGGGGCCACGGAAGGAGGAGGUAUCAGAGGUUGAUCAGUUGGAGCUUCACUGCGCGGUGCUGCCCCAGAAGACGAAGGCAGAUGCUGUUGGAACAAACCCACAAACCUCCGGUGAUCAAGUAAAAUCUGACCAUCAGUUUCCUGCAGCUGGUCAAUUUUCCUCUUCAUGUUUGUGGCAUAACUGUGUGCAAGCUUAUGCAAUUGUUUAUUUUCAUGCUUGAGUCCUCUAAUCUCCUCUUUGAGACUCUGUAUUUCAGCCACCAACGAUUCAACGUGACGGGUUCGAGCAAAUAGGCGUUGGGCCAUGUUGGACACAGAACCCGCACACUGCACGCUAAGAGCCAGAGACUCCUUAACCGCCAAUUCAUCAGACCGUCUAGCGAGCAGUCUGUUAUCUCUGGGGGUGACAAGGUUCCGGGCCACCACCGCAGCUGUCAUAUCAUUUUUCAUCACCGAAUCCCCCACGGUAAGGGGACCGGUAGGGGAUAUGAAGGAUGGGCGCCAUAUGUUGUCUGGUGAAGGCGGAGCUGCCUCUUCACCAAGGUUCAUGUCAAAACGACGAUCGGAAGGGCCAGACAUUUUUCAGAGGUGGUGAAGAAAGAAGAGAGGAUGACUGAUCAAGAUUAAAACAAGUGCAAGAAGGGAGUGUUUACAGGAGGGAGCUCAAGUGUGUUGUGGAACAAAAUUAACGCCUCUAUAAAAAGAAGAAAUCAAAGAGGCGCUCCUCAGAGAAGCGUCCUCUCGCAAAUCGAAGAGUCGGGGGCUCCUUUCUCAAAAGUCGGAUUCUUUUCUCAAAAAGAGGCGUUUCAUUUCUUAAAGGCUGGGCUUGCUCAGAAACCGCGAGCCGAACACCGAAUUUCAAAAGAUCAAAUUGUCCAGACGUGUCGUCACUCGUCACAUGCAACUGGUAGCUUUGCGGAAAUUACGGGCAGCUUUGUCAGAAAGCGCGUAAUUUGUACUAUUCAUCCAUCCACCGGCUGCCGACAAUGAGUGAGGGAAUAGUUCCGGUUGUGAAGAAAAGUCCUAUAAGUAUCUACCUUCGCCUUCCACAGCAAAGGCACACCCUCUCAGCACUUCUUCAUCUCCGAGAAUGUAUUUCCAACACACCCUCUCAAGUCACUCUGUAUUUCUCAUUCCCUGGGAUACCCCUGCAAACAACCCAUCCAGAGCAAAAGUAUUUCAUAUCAUAAUGGUUGAAAGCAAGAGUAUCUCAUAUCAUGCAUUCUCCAUGUCCUUUUCCUUGUCUUUGUUCUAACCUGCAGGACAUGGAGAAAUUGCUCUCGAGUACUCGUCUUCCACUGCUGAUGUACUUCCAAAGAAGCUGCCACAUCUCUACCUGAAGAACAGAUAAGGCAAGCGAAAAUGAUACCAGCAGCAUGUGGAGACAACGUACAGAAGAAACAAGCAGAGAAGAAUGCAGCUCGUACAAUCAACCCAGCACAAGGAGUCCGAGCUGAAGAACUAGAGAAGCUGCCACAUCUGCUUGGAGAACAAAUAAGGAACUGCAACAUCACCUCGUUCAAGAGUAAAGCUGUGGAAAGUCAACAAGAUCAACUAUCUCCAAAACCAGAUUUGCGUUCUUAAACUCUACUCUGUCUGGUUUUUACUUUGCCAUAUUUGUCAUGUUUAUUUUGUCGUUUAUUAUUUGCUUGUUUUUGGUGUGAGUAUAUGCUUGAAACAUUGAGGACAAUGUUUGAUUUAAGUGUGGGGGGGUAACCAUUGUUUUGCAUGAAAUUCGUAGAAAUUUAUCACCUAUUACUUCUAGUGUUGUUCCUUGUUGUUUUAAGUAUUUUUUUAAGCUGUUUUGGAGUGUUUCAAUGUGUUUUGACAUAAAAAAUCCGAAAAUUCAUAAAAAUUUGAAAAAUUGUUUUUGAAAAUCCAAAAAAAGAGUUGUUUUUGUGCGCUUAUUUGUGUCUUAGGGUACCUUCCAACACAAUGAUGAGGAUUCGGUUUGUAAUUGCAUGACUGUUAAAGAGAGUUAUAAACAUGGAUGAAAGUUUGAUUUACUCUUUAUUUAUGCGUGGUUGUGGUUAUAACUUAUGAAAUCACAUGUAAUCAUAAAAGAAAAAAAUUAGUUUUUGUAACAUGCUUGAAGGAAAGAACUCAAACUAACGCUACAACCUUGUGAGACUUGAGCUUAAACGUUUAUUUGGAGAGUUAAAAUCUGUGCAUUCUUGUUUUCUAAAGUCAUUGCAUGAUCUCAUUAUUCUUUGCUUGGCUAUUACUUAGAAGGCGUUUCAUCAUUUAGUUCCAAAUGCUAGAACUCAUGCCUAUUUCAUUCAAAGCAUGCUAUUGAUUUGCAUAAAACAUAUUCAAGAUGAAGUUGUGUAGUUACCACCACCAAAGCCAAACUGCCAUGUAUCCCAUAUCGUUAUAUGUUUAAGUUAACCCCAUUGAGCCUUGAUAGCCUACAUUCUUUGUUAAACCACAUUAUCCUUACCUAGCCUAGUUUAGGAUCAUCCAUACCCUUGUUCUUGAAGCAUAGUAAAACAUGAUUCAAAUUGAAUUUCUUUUGAUUAAUGUAUGGCAGAAAACAAGUGUGGGGGAAGUGUGAGUUAUUAUGCUUGUUGAAAAGAAAAGAAGAGUUGAGAAAAAAAAAAAAAAAAAAAAAAAAAAAAAAAAAAAAGUUUUAAAGUGCUGCUUGUUGAAGAAAGAGUCCAAAACAUAGAAUUCGGCCCUAAUUAUUGCCUGAAUUUUCCCUUCGUGUCUAAAAGCUGAUUUCUGCAAUCUAAGUGAAUUCUAAGUUUCAAUUUCAUUACUUUACUUGCUAUUGCUUUAAGAACGAUUGUUAUCCUUAUCCUUCAUUUGUUAGCCAUCACCCCCAAGCCCCGUUACAACCCUUAACUUCAUCUUGAGUGUCAUGCGUUUCAAUAUGUGGAGUUUGAAUUUGGUAUGAGCAUAUGGUGUCACUGGUUCUCGCAUCUAAGUAGUAGCAUUCCAUUCAUGAGAUCAUAUCUAAACAUGCUUAUUAACUCCAGAAAUUGCUUUCUUUGUGAUACAUAUAUGUGAGCGUUCGUUUUCAUAUCUACAUCAAUCUUCUCACAUAUAACUAGUAUAGGGUGUGUAGUUAGAAAAUCUGAGUGAAAAUUGAGUUCAUAUCUUGUAAGGAAUUGAGUGAUUUCUCUAAGGCAUGUUACUACAUCAAAAACAUUGUUUUAAUUGAUUAAUUGUGAACUAGUAAGUGGUGACUAUGAUUAAGUAUGUGCUUAAGUGUGUAAAGAUGACUCAAAUCUGUGGGGAUAAUGAUUUUUAACAUGUCAUGUGCAUUGGAAAUCCCUGAGGCAAAUGUUGGAAGGUUUAGGUUGUGUUUUAUUUGUUUUGUUUCGUUUUAUCUCUUUGUUUUGCUCGAGGACUAGCAAAAGCUAAGUGUGGGGGAAUUUGAUAGGAGCAUAUUUAUGCGACUUAGUUGGCUUGUUCUUGUGCAUUUAUGUCGUGUUUCCUUAGUUAUUUUUAAUGUUUAAAGUCAUUUUCGUGUGUUUUCAGACUCUAAGUACAAAGUAUGCAAGAAGAUGCAUUUUGGAGGCCUUUGGAGCAUGUUUCGGGCUUGGAAUGGAUAGCAAAUGCAUGGGCCAAGUGGAUGGACGAAUUUGAGAACUAAAGAGGCCAAGAAUAUGAAGAAUUAUGGUCCAAAAGAUGAAGAAAAUAGCCCAAAAAUCUGUCACCCCAACUUGCAUUCCUUGCCAUGCAAACCACAUAGUAGAAUUCCCUUUGGAUUCCAUGCCAUGCUUGAUCACUCUUGUCCCCUACAUAAUUUCUAAUUUCAUGCUUCAAUUCAUUUAAUUAUUACACUCAAUUGCUUGAUACCUCUUGUUCCCUUCACUUAUUAGAUUUUAGACAACAUUUACAUCCAUUACAUGCACCAAUUGAUGCUCCAUCAUUCACAUUUGGAAUCCCAUGCCUUGUGUACCACAUGUUGCUGCACCUUUGACCCAUUUAUUGACACAUUUUCACCUCCAUUUCCAUCUCUAUGCAAUGUACACAAUCAUUCAUGCUCCCUAGCUUCAAGACCACUCCAUUUUACCCUUCACACUUUGCAUCAUCACUUCAUUUUCACCCUUGGACCAUUGCACACCACACACACAAAUUACCAUGCAUUUCAUCCUUAAACCUAACCUGAUUUUCUAAGGUUUUUGGGGCCUAUAAAUACAUGUUUUACACCCCUUGGCCAAAGAAUAAUUCCCCAUAUUCAUCAUUUUAUCACAGAAAUUCGUCCAUACACACCCUAGGAAGCAAAACACCCCAAAAACACCAUUCUAGUGCCUAGAAAAACAUAACAGCCACUCCACCUUCUUCCACCCUCUUUGCCUAGUUCUCUACCACUCCCCAACCAUCAAACACUCUUCCACUCUCACCCUAAACCCUUCCACAAAAUUCCCCAUCCAUUCUACACCAUAAAUCCACCCAAAAAUCUGUCCACAAGCUUCAUGCCGCAAGCAAGGGAAAGGAGGAAUCUUGGAUGCACUUGCUACCAAGUUGGAGCAUUUUAGGUGUUUUCUUUCCUUUGAUUUUAAUGUCUAAUUUUAUGUAUCUUUGUAUUGCAAGAAAUGAGGAACUAAAAACCCCUUAGUUGGGGGGGUGAUUCGAAACCAUGUACAUGCUUGCAAUAUGAUUUGAUUACAUUCAGUUGUUAUUUCAUAAGUUGCGGAUUCAAUUCGUUCAUCUACUUGAUUGAUAACUUAUUUGUGUAUGUUGAUUGAGAGUGCACGCUUAGUUUUCAUGCAUGAAUAUAAUGCUAGAUUAUGAGGGAGUUUCACCUAAUAGUUACAAUCUUAUAAUCACAAGUAGUGAAGGUCGCUUGAAAACGAUCGCGUUGAAUGAAUUCUUGGCACUAGUUUUCAUGCUCAUCAUCAUAGUAACGAAUGCCUCGUCAACACUUAUAGUUCUCAUUGUGCUCCAUGAUUCUUGAUUGUAUCUUUAUUGUGCUCAUCACGUAAGGAACCUUCGAGGAAUGCUUUGAAUUGUUGUAUGCGCUUUCCCAUCCAAUUCAUUAACUUAAGGAGAACUUGAAGGUUAAUUUAAGCGUAUCUAAUUAACUUGGGGUGUUGAGUUUCAUAAUUUAUUGAAAGAACAACUGAAAAUCAUUUUGUUUGCAAGUGUGUCAUGUGUGGAGAAGAACCUCCUAACUAGCCUUUUAUCCAUCCUUUUCAUCUAAAAACGUUUUACAAUUUGUUUUGUUUUAAAGUUUCUGUUUUGUUUUCAAUUUUUCGUCCAAAACAAAUCCCCCUUUAUUUUGAAGUCUUAGAUUAGUUAGAAAGUGUUUUGAUUUGUGUUUCUAAGUGUUUUGAUUCAAGUUUUCAUCCAACUUCGUCCAAGUUCUUGUUAGGUUCUCAAAACUGCCCAGAAAGUGGUUUUUAGGCAGUUUUGAGUCAUUAGGUUGCUGUUUUGAGUUUUAUGUUUGUUUAAGUAUUUUAAAGUAUAGUUUUGCAUUCUUUGAGUCUAGUUUAGUGUUUUAAAUUUUGUUUUUAUGUUUUUAAGUCAGUUUUCAAGUGUUUAGCAAUCCCUCCUAAUCCCCGGCCUAGAACGAUCCCUACUUACAUACUUUACUACAUUUGAUAAAAAGAGGGUUUAAUUUUGUGUGUUAACUUAUUUUACGCAUCAUUAGAUCUACUUCACUUGGUAUUAUGGAGUCAUGGUGAUCAUUAGGUGAUAUGGUUAGACCUAAUUAAGGGAACGCAAUACAAUUUAAGACUUUUUGCUCUCACAUGACCUUUGUGUGACACGAUAUUUGGUGAUUACGUUGAUCCUUGUUAUCUUACGGUUCCCUAUUGACUCUGAUUUCAACAAAAUUCUUGAAGGCAGCUUAUUGGUUUGCAAUUAUUCAUGAUUAUUGUAAUAUUUCUAGAUCUAGUUUAGAAGAAACCUUUUGAGGUUGAAUUGUUCAUGAAUAUGUUAUGUAAUGCUAUUUAUUUAAUAAAUAAAAUAUCAAAAUUUUUCUUUACAAAAUAGUUAAACGUAGAGUAUCUUGUACUCGGAGCACCAUAAAAUCUGUUAGGCAAAAAAAAGGGUAGCUAGGGUCAGGGUCGGCCCAGGUCCAGUGCUGACAGGGCGACCGUUCGGGGCCCAAAAUAAUUGGGGGCGGUAUAUUUAUAUAUGUUUUCAUAAGAGUAUAAAUUUAUAAAAUUUGGUUCAAUAACAAAGAAAUUGAACUAGAAUUGGUGGUUUUGUUGUUUGAAAUUAAUCAGGAGGUCUUGGGUUCAAAACACAAUGCGUGCUUAUUUAUUUUUCAAUUUUUACAAAUUUCUUUUCAUCAUAAGAGUAUAAAUAUAUAAAAUUUUACUAAAUGAUCAAGAAGUUUAAUUAAAAUCAAUGGUUUUUGUUGUUUAAAAUUAACGAGAGGUCCUAAGUUUGAAAUGCUAAAUGCAUGUUUAUUAUUUUCAAUUUUUACGAAUUUUUGUUUGGUUGUUAAUUUAUUUUUAAUUAGUAGCUAGUAGCUAUGUAGAUUGUUAUUUUUAAACAUUAAUUUGUUCCAAUUCAAGUCUAAUGUUCAACUAAAAGUCAUGCAUGACCUAUUUUUUAAAUCAAAUUUACAAAUAAUAUGAUGUGUCAUCAAAAAGUUUAAUUUAGUACCCAUUUAUUACUUAUACACAUUAAUUAAAGACUCAAAAACAUCAUUAUUUUUUUAGUCCCAUAUUGACAAGAUUAGUAAAUAAGAAAAAACACCUCAUGAUUUAUAUAAAAACACUUUAAAAGUUCAGAUAGAAAACAAAACUCAUAUCUAUCUACUUGUAAACCUAAAGUGUUUUUGUUUCCAUCUCUUGAUACAAAAUGUGACAUCAUGUCCCUAAUUUUAAGUUUUAUAAAUUUUAAAUUAGUGAUUUUACAAAAUGCCCCCUUGAGGUAAAGAUUUUGACCUUUGUUAACCUCGGUUAGAGAGACGUAGGACUCAUUCUUUUGGCGUAUUUGCGUAGUACUCGAUGGUAAGAACGCAUAGGCAAAAGCCGGUGGCGAGUCCGGAUUAUAACGGUAUAGUUACGGACAUUUGAAUUUGGUUAGUUAUAUAAAUUGAACUCCCAUCUUGUGGGAAUGAAGCCAAUCAGCUUUCAGCAAGGAAAUAAGGAACCAAUCAUAUGAUUUUUUAGGACUAAUCAGAAAUGAGGGGGAAAAAGAAAGGACCAAUUGGAAGAGGAGAGAGAAACUGUUUCCUUUCCCUUUCAACCUGUGCACACCCAAACUGCUGAUGACCCGAGUUGUUUCCGAUCAAUAUCCACCAUUUUUCCAUUGAUUCAUCCACAUCCAAUACCUCCAACUUCUUCCACAACCUCCCCCUUACCAUUUUCACCCAUAUUUGAGGAUUUUUAGGUCCUAACCCGCAAGGAACUUCACCGUAGCAUCGGAGGUGCUCGACGACGAUUCUUCUCUUCCGGCGAGUUUCACCACCUACCACCACCCUUAAUCAACUCCCCUUAGACCCAGGAACAAGACCCAACCAGUGAGAGGGGUGUUGGAACACCGAAGAAGUAGAAUCGUCAAACACCCAUUCUAGGGUUUCCGAUGGAUUCGUGGCGAUUUGAAGGUUUUUCCGGCCAAAUUGAACUUGUCCACAUGUAUAAAACUUGCUCUACUCAUUGAGAUCUUCACUUUUGUUAAAUUUGAGAAUUUUUGGAAAUAGUUGGAUUUUCCGGCUAGUCGAGGUGGCCAACCGCCACGUGCAACGGCACGUGGGCUGAGGUAUCCCCUAAUCUUCCUAGGCUAAAUUUGAUACCCUAAUUCCAUAUGUUAAGUUUGAUUGAUGAAAUUUCAUUGUUUGAACAUAGUUAUGAUAGAAACCGUCACUUGAUUCUUAUACGCAUUGACAAUCCAAUCGUUAGAUCGUCACCAAACUUUAAUACGCUAUAUUAUGUAAUAUUUUAAGACAAUAGGAACUGAUGGAUCAAGAAUCCGACAUACGGAUCUUCUCGAACUGAAUUUAUAAGCUUGUAAAAUAAAACGUCGGCCGCCACUUAAUUCUAGCAAUUGGCGGAGAUCUGACUGUUGGAUCGUAAUGAAAUUUUAGUAUGAUGUUCUAGAAGCAUGAUGUGGAUCGUUGGAAGUUACGGAUCGGAAAUCUAAAGUGUGGAUCUUCUUGUCUGAGUUAUGUAGGAUUGUUAGACCCUACUGUCGACAUUUGACCGACGGUUGACUUUUGGUCAAUAGGUUUUAAAUGAUUCUAGAACAUCCUUGGGGAUGUAUUUUAUGUAAGUUACGUGUUCUAUCGAUAAGAAUUCUCAGACGUUAUUUGAUAAUUGUUCCAGGCGACGAUGGAUCGUGACGCCUUAAUAUUCGUGCUAGGGAAUUAUAGCGCAGACUUCAGGUGAAUGAGUCUUUCCCUUUUUAUAGUGUGUGUGUAUAUAUAUAUAUAUAUAUAUAUAUAUAUAUUUAUAGUGUGUGUGUGUGUGUGUGUGUGUGUAUUUAUAGUGUGUGUGUGUGUGUGUGUAUAUAUAUUUAUAGUGUGUGUGUGUGUGUGUGUGUGUAUAUAUAUAUAUAUGAUUGAUAGUUCCACAAAUGCUUUUAAAUUGAUUUAUGCAUUUUAUGCCAUGACAUAUAUGUAUUAAAAUACUAUGAUAUUUUAGAUUGCAUUAGGGCAUAUCCGUAUGCAUAUUACCUGUAUAUAAUUGUUGUGAAUGCUUGGAAGUGCUGGGAAGUGCUAAAGUGAAUGCGGGACGAGCAGGUAAGUUCAGGUGAGUUUAUGGUGUUAUUUGAAAUGAUUGAGUUAUGGCAUGACUAUAUUUAUGUAAUAGGCUACUCUAACACUGUCGUACAAGUUGCGAUAAUAGGCAAGUAACUCCUUGUCGUACAUGUUGCAAUAAUAGAAAAUCCGACACUGUCGUACAAGUUGUGAUAAUAGGCAACUCCGACACUGUCAUACAGGUUACGAUAAUAGGCAACUCCGACACUGUCAUACAAGCUGCAAUAAUAGGCAAGCAACUCCGAUACUGUCGUGCAGGUUGCAAUAAUAGGCAACUCCGACAUUGUCGUACGGGUUGCGAUAAUAGGCAAAUCCGACACUCUCGUACAGGUUGCAAUAAUAGGCAACUCCGACACUAUCGUACAGGUUGCAUUAGGCAACUCCGACUCAUGUGUUAUCAUUGAUUGAUUUAUGAGUCGCACUGGUUGCCUUAGGCAACUUCGACUCGUGUGUCAGCAUAGAUUCAUGAGCGCUUGAUUUUAUUAUGCUGCUGCAAAUAUGUAGCGAUUUGGAAUAUUUUUGGAUUUACUGUUGAUUUGCAUUUGAUUUCAUACUUAUACGUAGUAUGAUUUUCUGGAAACUAAAUAGGUUUUACAGCGAGGGGUUAUAACGUUUUCAAAAGGUUUUUAUUAAAACUUUAUUUUAAGGCCCACUAACCCUUGUUUUUCGCCCCUCCAGGUUUUAAUAGUUGAGCUUUCUUAUCAACGAGGAUUCAUGGCAAAUCUUGGUAUUGGAGAUUACCUUCGAUGGUAUGAUUCUCAAUCCACUCUACUGUACUUUACUUAUGCUCUAACGUCACGUGUGAAAUGGGUUCAUUCCCGCUCACAACGCACUCUUGUAUUUAGGCACUUUUAGGUUUAAAUUCAUUCACAUUUUCCACAUCACUACACUUUAUGGCUUCGUCACCUUCCAGGUGUCGGCUAGCACAACUCAAUUCAGAGUCCUAGUGGACAAUCCGGGUCGGGAUGUGUCACAAAAUAAAUUAGUUUUUCUGUGUUUAUAAAUUAUUAAAUUUGAAGUGCUUUUCUAAGUAUAAUUUAAUCGAUGUCUUACGUAUGAAAACAAAUAAUUUUCUUAUAUAAAGUGAGGGCACAUUUUUUGACGUUGCCCUGGGCCUCAAAAAUCUCUAGACCGACCCUGGCUAUUAACGCUAUUGAAUUAUUGAAAUCUUAAUGAAGAAGAAACUAAAGAAAUAGAUGAAGAAGAAAAACAAGGAAGAGAACUUUGAGUGAUAUAUUCUGAGUAAAAGAAAUAUUACAUCGUAAAACUCCAAGUCUCUAAGACUGCCCUUAUAUAGAAAACUAUGUAGUACAGUUUUACAUUUUUACCCUUUAUGCCUAACUCCAACCAACUCUAACUACUUUGAAGAUAAGCCCCACUUGAUUCCAACUGAUUCAGUUUAUUUGGUUAAUACUACCCCCUCAAACAAAACUGGGAAUCUCCAAGUAUUGUUUGCACCAGCAAUGAAGAAAUGGUGGGACUGCCAGGUUCUGUAGGUGCGGGACUUGGUGCUUCUUAAGCUUGUAAAGAUUGUUGACCAACAGCAGCAACUCCAAUAUGUAAGCUAUGACAAUGUUGAACGAACACCGGACUAUGUAAACCUUUCGUGAAUACAUCUGCUACCUAUUCAUGUGUUGAUAUGUACUGAACACGAAGAUCCCCUUUUUGAACUUUUUCCCUUGCAAAAUGAUAAUCGGUGUCCAGAUGUUUAAUUUUCGAGUGAAGCACCAGAUUGGAACACAAUGCUAGAGCUGAAAGAUUAUCACAAUGUAAGGUAGGAGGUUGUGUAAGAACUUGAUGAAUAUCCUUUAGCAGAGAUCGAAUCCAAAAAACAUUCGCAGCACAAUGUGCCAAAGCUUUGUACUCGGCUUCUGUAGAACUGCGAGAUACAGUAGCCUAUUUCUUCGACUGCCACGAUUUUGGAUUGAGUCCCAAAUAAACAAUAUAACCAGUAAUAGACCUCUUUGUGUUGAUAUCUGCUGCCCAAUCCGAAUCAGAGUAAGCAUUGAUUUGAAAAUCAGGAGACUGAGUGUAUGUCAACCCACAGUUGAAUGUACCCUGUAGAUACCUCAUAAUUCUUUUCACCAGAUGCAUAUGAGACUCUGAAGGAUUAGUCAUAUAUUGACAUACUACAUUUACUGAGUGUGCAAUAUCGGGUCUUGUAAAAGUGAGGUACUGCAAAGCCCUAACCAAGCUUCUAUAUUGAGUAGGAUUAGACAAUGGUGUGCCUUCAGUUGUAAGUAGCUGUGAGUGAGGUUUUGAGGGUGUGGAAGUUGGUUUACAGUGCUCCAUUCCAGCCUUUUUCAACAAUUCUUUUGUGUAUUUGGAUUGAUUCACGAACAAGGACCCAUAUGCAUGAUAUUGAAUCUGAAGUCCCAAGAAAUAUGUCAAGUUUCCCAUAUCUUUUAAGUCAAACACAGCUGCAAGAUUAUUAAUGACAGACUAAAUUUUCUUAUUGUUAGAUCCAGUUAAAAUGAUGUCAUCAACAUAUAAGAGGAGUAAAAUAACAUCACUCUCAUCCACUUUCACAAACAAACUUGUAUCAGACAUGGAGGUUUUAAAACCAAGUGCAGGUAGAAAACUUGUAAACUUUGAAUUCCAAGCUCUUCGAGCUUGUUUCAGGCCAUAUAAAGACUUGAUUAACCUGCACACAUGACUAGGGUACUGCUGAUCCACAAAACCUCAGGGUUGGGUCAUAUAUACCUAUUUUUCAAGCUCCCCAUGCAAAAAGCCAUUUUUAAUAACUAAUUGUCGUAAAUUCCAGUGGUAUUGAGCUGCCAAUGCUAGAAUAAGCCUCACAGUUGCAUGCCUCACCACAGGACUAAAAGUUUCUGAAUAAUCCAACCCGUGCUAUUGACUAAAUCCUUGUGCUACCAAUCGGGCUUUGUACCUAGAGACUGUCCCAUCAGGAUUUCUUUUCACUUUAUAGACCCAUUUACUGCCAAUUACACCUUUAUCACUAGGAGAAGGAACUAAUUUCCAUGUACCUUGUGACUUUAAAGCAUCAUACUCUUCUUGCAUAGCACUUUGCCACUGAGACAUAGUUGAUGCAAUUCUGAAGGUCUUUGGUUCCUCUUCCUCAUGUAUGUCGGCCAGAAAAGAAAAACCACAUGGUAUAUGACCAUUGAUAUCUUUAGUAUCAUGAGCUUGAAGCUGAAUAGAUGCUAACUCGGGUAGUGCAGCAAGACAUGAUAUGUAAUCUCGACGCAUAAUAGCACCAGUCUUAAGUCUAGUUUGAAUAUUGUGAUUGUGUGACUGAGAUUGAGUUUGUGCAUUUGGAAUAGACAGAGGAAGAAUUACCUGAAGCUGAGAUGGAUCAAGGACAGGAAGCAAGGGAACUGUAUGUUGAGAAGAGGAAAGAGUAUCUGGGAAUACAUGAGUUUCAAAUCCCUGUGUUCCAGUGUCUGACCGUGCUGAAGAACUAUUGAUGUGUGAAGUAGAAACUGAAGGUGGUACAUGAGUGUGUUGCAGAUGCUGUUCCAUGAUCCAAAAAUGAAUCCAUAUUCCUCUCUGGAUUUAUUGUAUUUGCAUGAGCUGAAGACUUGUGUUGUACAGAAACUGGUACUAUCACCAUGCUAUAUGAAGGUUGACUCGAAGUGACUCUCUGUCCUUGAGCUUUAGAUUUUAUCAAUGUAUAAGGAAACACAGUCUCAUCAAAGAUAACAUGUCUUGAAACAAUACAUUUCUGGCCUUGUACUUUAUAACAUAUUACACCCUUGUAUCCCCUGGAAUACCCAAAAAAUACACAUUGGUUAGACCUAGGAAGUAACUUAUGUGCAGAAUAUGGUCUUAACCAAGGAUAUACUGCUGAGUCGAAUACGUUCAAAUUCUGCAACUCAGGCUCUUUACCAUACAAUUUUGUAUAAGGAGACACCAUGGACAACACUUUGCAGGGCAUUGGAUUGAUUAAAAACACAGCAUGUGCACAGGUAUAAUACCAAAACUCAAGUGGUAAUGUAGCUUGAGCAAGAAGAGUAAUGGCAGUUUCCACUAUAUGCCUAUGUUUUCUUUCAACUACUCCAUUUUGUUGUGGAGUGUAUGGACAAGAGAUCAUAUGUUUAACACCCUUUGCAGCAAGAAAAACUUUGAAGGAAUGACUUGUGUACUCACCCUUACCAUCAGAUUGUAUACACUUAAUAGCAAUACCAAACUGUGUAUAAACCCAGUUGUAAAAACUCAAAAAAUUGCAUACACAUCUGAUUUAUUGUACAGUGGAAAAAUCCAAACAUAUUUUGUAUAUUGAUCAACAAAAGUAUCAUAGUAUCUAUACCCCUCUAUUGUUUUGACUGGAGAAUGGCCCCAUACAUCUGAGUGUACCUUUUCAAAAGGUGAGAAGUAUUUAUCAUUGCUAGAAGAAAAAGGAAGCCUACACAUCUUUCCUUUAAUACAGUAAGUACACAUACUAUGAUUCAUAUCUAACUCCAGUGGUAUAUUAGACUGUUUUAACAUGCUCCAGCGAAGAUCCUUCUAACUACCUCAGUAGUUAUGUUUGAGAUCGAGAGGUGCUGAAGGUUCUGGAACUUCUCUAGAAGGCUCAGAGGGGGUAGGCGAGGUGGAAGACGCCGGAGCAGCAACUGUCAAUGGCGAGCAUCGAUGUUUCAUCCCUGGAGCAGUUCCCGAGGCUUCAAAAUCUCCAGAAGCUUAUCCUCUCCGAUAACAGAAUCGCUGGAGGCCUUGAAUUCCUCGUUGAAACCUCAUCUUCAGCUGCUGCUGCUCGUCAGAUCCAUAGGUGACCGUCACCGUCAGAUCCAACCAGCGAAGAUCCAUCUUCCAUCUGUCACUCAUCGUCCGCUGUGUUUCUUGACCUACCGCUGAACCAUUUGGCUCUCGAGACAGCGUCGUCGAGGCUUCUGAGACCGCCGCCAGAGGCUCUGAAGUCCACCGAAGAUUUCGAAUCUCUAGUGAUUUCAUGCCAGCGAAACUAGUUGUGGAGUUCGAUCGAUUUGAACGAGUACAAAGUGUACAAGACCGAGUCAGUCGGUAAGUCCGCCAGGAAAGUGACCGCCGACGCGUCGACUCAGACCGACGAAAAACAGCACCGACGUCGUGUUGUUCGAGAUGAGCACGAGGAAAAAGGUCAAGGUCAAAGUUAGCGCAAGGUAAUUCAGAUUCAGAGUCAGAGUCGAGCCCCUAAACGUUCGAGUCGCUGAUGAAGACGGAUGAGUCUGCACGAACGGGGCGAACAAGAAGGAGACAGUGAACCAGACGGCUAAGAUCUGUCCAACUAGGAAGAUGAAGGCGUCAACGGUCCUGAUGCAAUUGUUAUCGUGCGACUCGAUCUCGUUCAGGGACUGCGGAUCCACGACGGUGAAGGAGCAGGGGUUCUCGCUGAUUGGGCAUUACAAGCCUAGGCUACCAUGGGGCGUGACCUGAAAUCAGAUAGGAGUGCGCAUCUGCAAUUGGAGGAAAUAGAGAACUUGAGUGCCAUCUGCACUCUGCAAAGUAAAAGCAAAAGCUAAAAGAGAAAGAUUAUACUUUUGCUUUUGUCGACGGAUGCAUGUUCCUAUUUUUUAAAAGCUAGAGAAAAGCAAAUGGGCGAUGUCGGAAAGGCUGUCCAAAGCAGCUGUCAUUUUAGAGCAAAGCAGAAAGCAUGGCUACCCGAGAUCUGCGGUGGAAAAGAGCAAAGCAGAAAAUAUGGCUACCCACUGAGAUAAUUACAAAAGUAGAAAAGAAAAGAGAAAAACAAAAGUAAGGAAUAAACAUCCUACCAGAAUGAUGUAAUUUAUUAUUUUCGGAGACAUAUGUAUAAACCCCAUCAGUGGGUAAUAUGUAUAAACCCAUCAGAGGGUAAUUAUCAAAAAAAAAAAAAAAAAAAAAAAAAAAGGGCAAAAGCCCAAAAUAAAUGGGCUGCCAUGUUGUGGAUGGCGAAGGCCUAUAAGCCCAAAAUAGCACCAACCAGGUGAUCAAAAGUACGCCUACUACUCCAAAUUAUACAUGAGCAUUACUCAUGUCAUUCAUACAUAAACAUUCAUGAGCAUCACUCAUGAUAAUCAUACAUAAACAUUCAUGACCAUCAUUCAUGUCAACAUUCAUGAGCAUCACUCAUGUUAACAUUCAUGAACAUCACUCAUGACAACAUCCAUGAGCAUCACUCAUGUCAAUCAACAUAAACAUUCAUGAGCAUCACUCAUGUCAAUCAGCUUCAAAGACUUCAUUUACAGAGCUCUAGCUUCAAAAGCUUCAUUCACAAGAGCUCUAGCUUCAAAGACUUCAUUUACAGAGCUCUAGCUUCAACAGCUUCAUUUACAAGAGCUCUAGCUUCAAAGACUUCAUUUACAGAGCUCUAGAUUCAAAAGCUUCAUUUACAAAAGCUCUAGCUUUAAAAGCUUCAUUUACAGAGCUCUAGCUUCAAAGCUUCACCUGCAAAGCUUCACCUACAAAGCUUCAGUGCAGGGUAUACAAAUAUCACAUCUGAACAACCGUCACUUCGGCCCAUACAUGGAUUCAAUUUGAAGUCUCCAGCCAACAGACUCUAUUGACCGAAGACUUGGGGGACUACAUUAUGUACCAUAUAUUGGGCCUCAACUGGGCCUUAUGAAAAAUACUUGGGGGACUCUAGCCCAUUAUUUAUGUAUUGAGGAGCGAGCCCUUAUUCUAUAAAAGGGACUCCUUCACUUUUAGAGAGCACUCAUGAAAAAUACUUGGGGGACUCUAGCCCAUCACUUAUGUAUUGAGGAGUGAGCCCUUAUUCUAUAAAAGGGACUCCCUCACCUUCAUUAGAGAGAAACGCCGCCAGCUGAGCAACCGCCUCGCCGCGAGCAUCAACUCUAGCCCAUCAUUUAUGUAUUGAGGAACGAGCCCUUAUUCUAUAAAAGGGACUCCCUCACCUUCAAACGCCACAAGACAAGCCAACUAAGGCAACAUAAGCUACAAGCAAAGCGGCCUCACAACAUGUGCUACUUCUAGUUGAGCAUCAUUUCAGAUUGGGCACCGCCUCAUAUCGAGCAUCAGUUCUAGACGACAUUUAGUUACUUCGGCCCACACAUGGACUGAAUUUCAAGUCUCCAGCCAAAAGACUCUCUUGACUGAAGACUUGAGGGACUACUGUUUAUACCAUAUUUAGGGCCUCGUAUAUUUGGGCCUUGGGCCUUGUAUUUGGGCCUCACACUAAAGCCCAUACUUUGUAAAAGAGGAGGAGCCCCUUAUUCUAUAAAAGGGGACUCCUACCCUCAUUCUAGAGGAGGCAAAAGAACCAAGCCUAAGAAGGCUAAGAGAAGCUAUCAUUACAUUCAGGAGAGACUUCACACCACCGAGGCUCUCCUCUCCCUUCCCUUCUUUCUCCUCCGGGGGACUUCCCCCAAACACUUGUAUCCAUACAAUUACAGAGAAACAGAAUCAACUACAGUGUGGAUGUAGCCCAAACCUUGGGGUGAACCACGAUACAUCUUGUGUUAUUUACAUUUCAUGCAGAUUCACGGUCGGAUUUACGUUGUACCAAGACCAUCCGGUUUUGUGCAUCAACAAUAGACAUGAUUUCAUUGGAUGGAUGACCAAACUGUUGAUGCCACAAAGUUGACUUCACCAACUGUCCAAGAAAAACACAAGGUUGCUAAAUCACAGACUGAACUUGAUGCGAAAUAUAUAAGCACACAAAUUAAACCCUCUUUUUAUCAAUUGUAGCAAAGUAUGUAAGUAGGGAUCGUUCUAGGCCGGGGAUUAGGAGGGAUUGCUAAAUCACUUAAAACUGACUCAAAAACGUAAAAACAAAGUUUAAAACACUAAACUAGACUCAAAGAAUGCAAAACUAAACUUUAAAACACUAAAACAAACCAAAAGACUCAAAACAGCCCAGAAACACUCAAAACUGCCUUAAAAUCACAAUCUGGGCAGUUUGAACACCUAACACUAAUCUGGACGAAAUUGGGUCAUAACUUGACUCAAGACACUUAAAAACACAAACUAAAUUGACUUCUAACUAAGAUGACUCAACAAGAUAAAGGGGGAUUGAUUUUAGACGGAUUUAAAAACAAAACAGAAACUUUGUAACUUGAACAGAUUUUAAAACGAAUUUGGCUAAAGUUAAUGGAUGGAAAACUAGCUAAGGGGUUCUUCUCCACACAUGUCACACUUGCAUACAAAACGAUUUCCAAUUGCUUCUCAAUAAACCAUGAAUUCUCAACGCCCCAAGUUAAUUAGGUCCGCUUAAAUUAACCCUCAGAUUUUCCUUAAGUUAUUGAAUUGGAUGAAUUGCAUAUGACAACCCAAAGCAUUCCCCACAAGUUCCCUACAUGAAAGCGCAUAAUAGAGAUUCAAGCAAGGAUCAUUAAGUUCUAUGAAAAUCAUAAACAUUGACGAGGCACUCGUAACUAUGAAAGCACAUGUUACUUAUGCCAAGAAUUUACUUAACGCGAUUGUGAUCAACAACCUUUACUACUUGUGAAUAUAAGUUCAUAACAAUUAAUUGAAAUUCCCUUAUAUCCUAGCAUCAAAUUCAUGCAUGCAAACUAAGCGGGCCCUCUUAACCAACAUACACAAACCAGUUUUAAUUCAUAUAGAUAAGUAAAUUGAAUUCACAACUUAUGAAACGCAAUUAGAAGUAAGCAAAUCAUAUAGCAAGCAUAAACAUGGUUUUGAAUCCCCCCCUAGCCAAGGGGGGUUUAGUUCCUCAUACUCGCAAAGCAAAGAUACAUAAAUUUAGAAAUUAAAAUCCAAAGAAAGAAAACACCUAGAGCGCUCCAACUUGGCAGCAAGCGCAUCAAUGAUUUCUCCUUCCUCCUUGCUGCGGCAGAGAAGUUUAGAACAGGUUUUGGGUGGUAUUUAUGGUGUAGAAUGGAUGAGGAAUGGUAUGGAAAGGUUUAGGGUUGAUGGGUGGUGCGGCAAGGGAUGAUUUCUGGCUGGAAUUAGAGAGAAUGGUGGUGGAAAGCUGCGGCAGAGCACAAGGGUGGAUUUCUGGCGUGUAGAAUGAAUAUGGGAGGUGGUAAUUCGGCCAAGGGGUUAUAAUGAGUAUAUAUAGGCACUUAAAACCCUAGGUAAAUCAGAUAUGGACUUGAAUAACCCAAAUCCACAAGGAAAUAGGCUUAGAAAUCAGAAUCCACAAGGGAAAAGGUCCACAAAGGUGUGGCAGGUUUAGAUGAUAUGGAUAGGGCUUCUAGAAUGCCUUGCAAGGCAAGGAAAACAAGUUCUAGAAAGGGGAUAGGUGCGGCAGGUUUAGGGAAUGUAGAUAGGGCUUCUAGAAAGCCCAAAACCAAGAGAAAAUAAGGCCCAACCCACGGCAAGGAUGAGAAAAUGUUCUAGAACCCUUCUUUGUGUCUUCCAACGUUUAGGAACCUUCUAAUUUUGCUAAAACUCAAGGCCAUGUAGGUUUAGGAAAGAUCAACCCAAAGUGGAAACUUUUAGGCUUAGCUCUCCUACUUCAAGUAGGAAACCUCGUUUGAGUAGGAAUCUUCGUUCUUCUAGGAAUCCAUCUUCAACUAGGAAUCCCUCGUUGAUUAGGAAUCCUUCUUCAAUUAGGACUCCUCCUCGGACUAGGAAUCCUUCUUGGAUUAGGACUCCUCCUCGGACUAGGAAUCCUCAAAUCUUCAAAUCUUCAAUUUUGUCCAAACCUUGUGUUCCAAGCAUGUACUUUCCAAUCCAUGCUCACUUUUGCUCCAAAAGCUCUUAAUUGCAUCAUUUUAGGUAAUAUGCCCUUUAAACCUGAAAACACAUGAAAGUAGCUUAAACGUCUAUUUUAACUUAGAAAACAUAACAAAAAUGCAUAAGAACUAGCUAACUAAGGCGCAUAAAUAUGCUCCUAUCAGAACUCCUCUUGAUUGCUUGAUAACAGGGAUUUGAAACAACUGUCUUGCUUUACUCUUUCCUCUGUACAGAUGUCCCUUGUCUUCUUGUCCUACACAAAAAACUCAUUCUCAUCACACACAAACCAACUAUGAUUGUCAGCACAUAAUCGUUGUACAGAUAGCAAACUUCAAGCAAUUUUUGGAACAUGUAAAACAUUAUUAACAAACAGGUUAUGAGAAUUAGUUUUAAUAGUAGUUGCACCAAUAUUCUCAAUAGAUAAACCUGUCCCAUUGCCAACCAAAAUUGUUUCAGAACCUUGGAAUGGUGUAACUUGAUUCAAUGUAUUGACAUCAGCAGUGAUAUGGUGAGAUGCACCAGUAUCAAUAAUCCAAGCAUCCUAAGGAAUUUGUUGUUCUGAUUGCUAGGUUGUCAUAGCUGUGAACUGUGUAGGUGGUUGUUGGCCUUGGAACACAUAAUUCCCUCUAUGAUAGCAAUCAAGAGCUGAAUGACCACGUCUCCCACAAAUCUGACACUCCAUUUGAAAACCAGUACUGGGUGCAGUAGCAUUCCUGUGGAAACAAUUAACAUAUUAACGCUACUAAAUUACUGAAAUCUUAAUGAAGAAGAAACUAAAGAAAUAGAUGAAGAAGAAAAACAAGAGAACUUUGAGUGAUAUAUUCUGAGUAAAAGAAAUAUUACAUCGUACAACUCCAAGUCUCUAAGACUACCCUUAUAUAGAAAACUAUGUAGUACAGUUUUACAUUUUUACCCUUUAUGUCUAACUCCAACCAACUCUAACUACUUUGAAGAUAAGUCCCACUUGAUUCCAACUGAUUCAGUUUAUUUGGUUAAUACUGGCUAGUGUUAUAAUUUAUAACUGUAACUACUUCAAGAUGAAAAUAACAAUGUUCCUCUUGUCAUCCUCAUAUUACCAACUUCCAUGCAUAAAACAGUAUUCUAUAAUGACAAUAUGCUAUAGUUACUUCGAAAUGACUGAAUUGUAUAGGGAUGAUUACUAAGGGGGUGGAGGAGUAGCAUAAGCUAUAUAUAUUAGAUCUGAUAUAAAUAUUUUUUAAAAGUAGUGCGAGUGAUUUAACAUAAAAUUUAGUUUCAUAACCAACUCAUACUCUGCCUUUUGCCUUAUACAAUAUUUUUAACGUCAUACAAAAAUUAAAGAUCACCAUGGCAAGUUAACUAUAGUUUCCUUAGAAAUGACAAGCUACAAGUUUAGCAUGCUCAUAAUUUAAUUAAUUAUCUGCAUCGCCAUAGUUAAUAAAAAUGUCCUUAUCACUCAACCAAUCCUCGCUCCAAUCUCCAUCUCAUCCACUCCCCGGAAAGUCCAAACCUCCACCUUCCAACUCCAAUCUGCAUCCUUGUUUUGUCCUUAGAUCCUAAGGGAUGAGAGGACGACACUAUCCUAUAAUAAUAAAUUAACAUAAUCAAAAGCACCAAUCGCUUUCCAUCCCUCAACACUUGCCCAUGAUUUUUCUUCCCAACAAAUAUUUCUUUUAACGCUACUUAUUAGUACGAUUUAGUGAACUUUUCUUCAGUUAUAAAAUAAAAGUCUUAGGUUCGAAUCUCAUAAAUGAUAUGUUUGAGAUAAAAUUAUUAUGACAUGCUAAUUGUAUGACUUAGUCUUAAUUUCUUACCUCUUAACGUAAAUAUAUCGUCUGUAUUAUAAAAUUUUAUUUUGGCACAAAAAAAAAAAUAUAUAUAUAUAUGUCAAAGAUGAAAGAGUCAGCCUCUAUGGAUUGGAUGGGCUGGACCACAACAGCACCCAAAACCGUAACAAAUAAUGGUUCACAGCUCUAAUGUGCACCACCAUGCACUACACUGCGUUUGGAGCCAUGGGCCUCCCAAUACUUCAAUAAAAUAAAAUCUUGAAGUGUUGUAAAAGUUGUGGGUUUGAAUGCCACAUGGUUUAGUCAAAAGUUAAAAUGUAAGGAUGACUAAAAUGGCAGUGUUGUUAGAUUUGCAAUUCUUAGAAGACAUGAUUUUCAACUUGUAUGGCAUGGUUUUCAACAUGCCUUAAUUUGCCUUUUAGACUUAUGCAUGUAAAAGUCUCUAUAUAAAUAGCAUGCAAUGCAUGAUCAAACAACACACUAGAUCAAGAGUGAAAGUAAUAAUACCAAUAUACCACACAAACGCCAUGCCUGUGAACGAGAAAUUAAACAGUCGUAACUUGUGGAAAUUGUUGUUGACAUCCCCAUGUUGGGUAGUGAAUCUGACCACGUGUUCUAAUGAGGAAAAGGAUGAUUCCCCAAUGAAGAGACUGAAUCUAGGAUAUUGAAUCCUCGGGGAUAUUCAAACCUUUCAAUGAAAGCUAGGUAUGGAAGGAUAAACUUUGGGACUUUCGGCCCUUUCUUUCAAAGCCAAAUUAAUCAUUCUCUUAACUUCACCCUUAUCAACGGAUGUCGUUUCUGUUCUUCUGCCAAAUUCGGCCAAACUGGUCCUUGGCCCACUGUAUGGUCUUUCAAGAUCGCUUGUCUUGGUCUGAUUGAGUCUCAUUUUGGCUUGCCCUGGUGGUGCGAAAAUUUUCUUCAAACACAAAUUAAACCUUCUUGUUGUCAAAUUGUAGUAUAAAUGCAAGUAGGGAUCAUUCUAAACCGGGGAUUAUGAGGGCUUGCUAAAACCUCUAAACUGACUUAAAAACAUAUAAACAAAGUUAAAAACACUAAUCUAGACUCAAAGAACUUAAAACAAACUCAAAGGACUCAAAACAAGCUAAAAACGCUCAAAUCUGCCUAAAAACACAAACUGGGUAGAUUUGGACUCUAACACACUUUUGGGACACCUAAAAACACAAAUCAAAACAGAAUUUGACUAAUAAAACACUUUAAAGUAAAUGGGGUUUUGAUCGGAUCAUAUUUAUAUAUAUUUUUACUUCGAAUUCACUCAUCUUUUCUUAGUUAGUUCCUUAUAUUUUUGAGCUAUUUACGUUAUUUUUGUGUUUAUAGGAUUUGUUAUGCAAAGAAAAUAAAAAUAGCACAAAUGAGUUUUAAAUAAUAAACAGAAUAGUUACUUCGAACAUUAUGAUUUUUUUGUAGGUCAAUUAAUUUAGUUUAUUCAUUGCGAUUAUAAUUGAAGUCAUUAUUUGUCUAUUUUCUGAUCGCCAACUUCAAGCAAAUUCUCUUGCUUGCAGAGUUCCUAAAGACGUGACCUGCCUAAGAAUUGUGGAAUGCAUUUCGGGAGUCAAUACUCGUAGUAAGCUGUUUAGAAGUGCAAUUGCCCAUCAGAUGCUUCUUAGCUGUUAUGAUCAUAAGCAAGUGUGGCUUUCCAACUAGACAACAAAAGGGAUCCAAGGAAGUGGAAGGCUGAGAGACAGCUAGGAGGCAGAAACGAAAAAUAUAAUAGAGCAGACGCGGGGGGGAGACAUAAAAAGGAUUGGGAGCUGCUGGGGCAGCUAAGAAAAAGGAAAUAAAAAAUAAAUAAAGAAACGGUGAAAAGAAUCCAAGGCAGUAGAGAGGUCAGAGUGCGCCAGAGGGGAAAGCAAAAAGCAGACACGGGACGGAUUGGAAAAAGCUGCCUUGGCAGCGUGUGAGAGAGUGAAAGAAAUAGAGGGGAGCAGGAUAAUUAGAAAAAAAAAACGUGACGCGGAGAGAGGGGGCUGCCUCUUGGCAGCUCGCGGAGAGCACAGGGCAGUGUGCGGAAAAAUAAAAAAAAAGGCAGAACAGGAGAGGUGAGGACGUGCAGAGAGAGCAGCAUCGGGGAGAAAAAGAAAAUAAAAAAAGAGAGGUCAGAGAGGGAAGCAGGAAAGCUGCCUUUGGCAGCUGGAAAGAAAGCGGAAGAAAGGGGCUGCCCUUUGGGCAGCUCGCAGGAACGUGCAGAGAGCAGUGAGGAAAGGUGAGGCAAGCAAGAGAGAGCAGUGAGGGAAGGAGAGGCGCAGGAAGAGUGAGGACCGUGAGAACAGGAAGGCAGUACGGGAAUACAAGCUGCCUUUGGCAGCUGGCAGUUGACGCGCGGAAAGGAAAGUCAGCACGCUGCCUUGGCAGCGUGAAAAACCAGGAAGGCAGGCCAGCGAGGCGCAGUUCACACGGGCGCGAAAGCAGCAGAUCACCUUCUUUCGGUUUAAUCUUUCCAAACUCCUAUUUUAUUUCUGUUUUUAAUAAUGUGUAAUUAAACUUAUUUUGGCUAGAGGUUAAUUCAAAGCCAUGAAUAUAUUUGUAAUAUGAAUUGAUUACCUUCGGUUGUGAUUUCAUAAGUUGUGAUUUCAAUUUACUUAUCCGUUCGUAUAAAAAAACUGAUUUGUGUAUGUUUGGUUGAGAGUGCACGCUUAAUUUACAUGCAUGAAUUUGAUGCUAGAAUAUAAGUGAAUUUCACCUAAUCGUUAUGAACUUAUUUUCACAAGUAGUAAAGGUUGCUAGUCACAAUCACGUUAAGUAAAUUCUUGGCAAGAGUAUCAUGCUUUUCAUAGUUACGAAUGCCUCGUCAAUGCUUAUAGUUUUCACAAAGUUUAAUGAUCUUUGAUUGUAUCUCUAUUGUGCUUUUCACGUAGGGGACUUUUGAAGAAUGUUUUGAAUUGUUGUAUGCGUUUUUUCCGUCCAAUUCAAUAACUUAAGGAAAAACUUGAAGAUUAAAAAAGUGCUGUUCACGGUUAAUCUGGAGUAUUGAGAUUCACAAUUUAUUGAAAGAAACAACUGAAAAUCAAUUUAGGUUGCAUAUGUGUCAUGUGUGGAGAAGAACCCUCUAGCUAGUCCGUCAUUUAUCAUUUUACCUUAAUUUUAUGUUUUUAUCAAUUCUGUAAUUUAAUUAAGUUUAAUUUAUUUUUCAUCAAAGCCAAACACCCAUCCAUUAUUAAAUUAUAUUAUUUAGUUAGUUUUCUUUAUUGUUAGUCUUUUAAUUUAAUUUCCGUCCAUUUCAAUUCCUAGUGUCUAUUUUGAUUGUUUUUAUUAUUUUGAGUCAUUUUAAGUGUGUUUCGAAUUAUUAGAGUUUUUAGCCUAGUUUUGUGUCCUUGAGUCUUGUUUAAUAUUUUUUACUUUGUUUUUUUAUGUUUUUAAGAGGUUUUAGCAAGCCCUCCUAAUCCCCGGCCUAGAACGAUACCCUACUUAUACUUAUACUACAAUUGACAAAAAGAGGGUUUAAUUUUGUGUGCUUAUAUUUUUCACAUCAAAUUUUGGCGCCGUUGCCGGGGAUUAGUAACUUUGCUAAUCCUUUUAUUUUUGUUUUUGUUUAUGUUUAUAUUGGUGUUUGUGUAUUUUACUUUUGAUAUUUGAUUUAUUUUUCUUUCUUUGAUUUUAGGUUCAAAUGGAGCCGAGGGAAAUUUAAAGGAAAGAUGCGUCCGGCUAAAGACGUUAAAUCAAGCGCUUCUUGGGAGGCAACCCAAGCAUUCAACGAAGGGAGACUUUGGAAUCGCUAACCCAAUCAGCUUUGCAUUCUUCCACCCUUAUCUUUGCUGCUUUCAUUUUGUUUUGUUUAGUUAGUUGUGUUAUUUGGUUGAUUUCUGUGAGUUUGUGUUAUUUAGUUUAAGUGUGGGGGAAGGUUAACCAAAGUCUCUUUACAUUAAUUUACAUUUAAAAAAAAAUAAAAAAAUAAAAAAAUAAAAAAAUAAAAAAAUAAAAAUAAAAAAAAAUAAAAAAUUAAAAAUUAAAAAAAAAAAAAAAAAAAAAAAAGAUAAAAUUUAAAAUUAAUGUUAAAAAAAAAAAAAAAAAAAAAAAUUACAUAAAAUAUUUUACAAUAAUGUAAACUAAUAGUAUUCAUUGGUCGGGUGGUGCUUCAGUAGUAGGCGGGGCUUCAGCAGUCGGCGGGGCCACAGAAGGAGGAGGCGGCAGGAGGUUGAUCAGUUGGAGCUUCACUACGCGGUGCCGCUCCAGAAGACGAAGGCAGAUGCGGUUGGAACAAACCCACAAACCUCCGAUGAUCAAGUAAAAUUUGACCAUCGGUGUCCUGCAUCUGGUCAAUCUUCCUCUUCAUGCUGGUGGCAUAGCUGUGUGCGAGCUUGUGCAAUUCCUUAUUCUCAUGCUUGAGCCCUUUAAUCUCUUGCUUGAGACUCUGUAUUUCAGCCACCAAGGAUUCAACGUGACGGGUUCGGGCAUAUAGGCGUUGGGCCAUGUUGGAUACGGAACCCGCACACUGCACACUGAGAGCCAGAGACUCCUUGACCGCCAAAUUCAUCAGACCGCCUUGCGAGCAGUCUGUUAUCUCUGGGAGUGACAAGGUUUCGGGCCACCACCGCAGCGGUCAUGUCAUUUUUCAUCAUCGAAUCCCCCACGGUAAGGGGACCGGUAGGGGAUAUGAAGGAUGGCCGCCAUAUGUUGUCUGGUGAAGGCGGAGCUGCCUCUUCACCAAUGUUCAAGUCAAAACGACGAUCAGAAGGGCCAGACAUUUUUUCAGAGGUGGUGAAGAAAGAGAGAGGAUGACUGAUCAAGAUUAAACAAGUGCAAGAAGGGAGUGUUUACAGGAGGGUACUCAAGUGUGUUUGUGGAACAAGCUUAACGUCUCUAUAAAAAGGAAGAAAUCAAAAGAGGCGCUCCUCAGAGAAGCGUCCUCUCGCAAAUCGAAGAGUCGGGGCUCCGUUCUCAAACGUCUGAUNGGCAUAUAGGCGUUGGGCCAUGUUGGAUACGGAACCCGCACACUGCACACUGAGAGAGCCAGAGACUCCUUGACCGCCAAUUCAUCAGACCGCCUUGCGAGCAGUCUGUUAUCUCUGGGAGUGACAAGGUUUCGGGCCACCACCGCAGCGGUCAUGUCAUUUUUCAUCAUCGAAUCCCCCACGGUAAGGGGACCGGUAGGGGAUAUGAAGGAUGGCCGCCAUAUGUUGUCUGGUGAAGGCGGAGCUGCCUCUUCACCAAUGUUCAAGUCAAAACGACGAUCAGAAGGGCCAGACAUUUUUCAGAGGUGGUGAAGAAAGAAGAGAGGAUGACUGAUCAAGAUUAAACAAGUGCAAGAAGGGAGUGUUUACAGGAGGGUACUCAAGUGUGUUGUGGAACAAGCUUAACGUCUCUAUAAAAAGGAAGAAAUCAAAGAGGCGCUCCUCAGAGAAGCGUCCUCUCGCAAAUCGAAGAGUCGGGGCUCCGUUCUCAAACGUCUGAUUCUUUUCUCAAAAGAGGAGUUUCCUUUCUCAAAAGCCGGAUUCUUUUCUCAAAAGAGGCGUUUCAUUUCUUAAAGGCUGGGCUUGCUCAGAAACCACGAGCCGAACCCCGGAUUUCAAAAGAUCAAUUUGUCCAGACGUGUCGUCACUUGUCACACGCAAAUUGCUUUGCGGAAAUCUUGGGCAAUUUGUCGAAGCACCAAUUCAGAAAUCGAAGAGGGAAAUUCAACAGUCAAAGACACGCUAGCUUUCUCAAAAGCUGGGCUUCAACCCACGGGAAAAUCUUCUUUUCCAGAUUUAUCCGCACGUGUCACAUGCUACCUCUACAAUCGACGAUGCUCAGAGCUCGAAGCGCCGAUUACAGAUAUCAAUGAGGAAUCAGCUUUGCGGAAAUUACGGGCAGCUUUGUCAGAAAGCGCGUAAUUUGUAUUCUUCACCCAUCCACCGGCUGCCGACACUAAGUGAGAGAACAGUUCCGGUUGUGAAGACAAGUCCUAUAAGUUUCUACCUUCGCCUUCCACAGCAAUAGCACACUCUCUCAGCACACCCUCUCAACACCUCUUUCAUCUCCGAAAAUGCAUUCCCAAAGAAUCCUCUCGAGUCACUCUGUGUUCCUCAUUCCUUGGGAUACUCCUGCGAACAACCCAUUCAAAGCAAAAGUAUUUCAUAUCAUAAAGGUUGAAAGCAAGAGUAUCUCAUAUCAUGCUUUCUCCAUGUCCUUCUCCUUGUCUUUGUUUUCCGACAAGGAGAAAGAGAGCAAUCAGCCAGCAUUUGGUAUCAAUCUUCCAAUCUGGAGCCAACUGCCUGGAACCCUUUCCUGAUUGCUUACCUAGCCUUGCUCUCGAGUACUCAUCUUCUUCAUCUUAUGCUUCCGUUUUGUCUACCACAUCUACUUGGGGGACAAGUAAGGGAGGUGAAAAUGAGACCUCGAAGCAUGUGGAGACAAUUCAGCUAGGGACAAGGAGAAAGAAAGCAAGAGGUGGGCACUUGGAAAGAUUGAAGAAAGAAAUAAGGACCAACACCUUUCCCUCGUGCCUGCCCGUUGUGCAGAAGAAACAAGCAGAGAAGAAUGCAGCUUGCACAAUCAUCCCAGCGGAAGGAGUCCGAACUGAGGAACUAGAGAAGCUGCCACAUUCUGCUUGGAGAACAAAUAAGGAACUGCAACAUUCCCAAAGAGCAAAGCUCCGCCGUACAAUAUCAUCAAAUAGUAAAAAGCUAAGUGUCACCCUGUUCAAGAGGAAAGCUGUGGAAAGUCAACAAGCACGACCAAUGAUUAUUUAUUAGUUUUAUUCAUUAUCUUUUAUCGUAAUUUCAAUUUUUCGUUUGCAAUUUUUUUUAAUUAAUUUUCUUGCGUACUUAACUGAAUUUUUCCUUUUCUUUGCAGGAACUUUUGGUUAUUUCCACCCUUGAAGUUGAUUGCAGAAUUUUAGCUUGGGGGUCAUCGCUUGAUUUUACUGCAAAUUAGGGAAGUUUUCAGUCCAAUUGCGUUAUUUUGUUUCUUAUUAUUUAUUUAUUUUAUUUUAUUUUUUUAUUUGCAUUAUAGUGUUUUCUGACAUUGGGGACAAUGUCCAGUUUAAGUGUGGGGGUAGAAAUCUCCAGAAUUUCAUUUGUUUCUGUGUUGCUGUUUUUUGUGUUCUUAAUUAGUUUUGUUUUCUUUUAAAAAAAAUAAAAAAAUAAAAAAAUAAAAAAAUAAAAAAUCGGAAAAUUUAAAAAUCUAAAAAUAUUGUCUUGUUUCCCUUAUUGUUUUGAAUUAGAUUUUUGUUAGUUUCCCGACCCAAUGAUAUAAUUAGAUCAAAUUUGAAUCACGAUUAUCAAGAACUUAGUUAACAUGUGUUUUAUGAAAUUCCUAAUUCUCUUGUUAGUUUUGUACAUGUUUGAUCAUCUUUGAAAAACCAAAUGCACAUAGCCUUGUUAAUGUGAAACUAAAGUAUGACUUAAAGCUUCAUAUGUGAAUUUAGUGACCAUAUACAUCCUAUGUGAGUUUUUGAGCCUAUUGAAAGUGUGCAUUUUUCAUACACUCCUAUUCUUUCAUGUGUGAUGAACUUAUGUGAGAUACAUCUCUAGAACUUGCGUAACGAUCUUUCGAAAUGUUUGUCAUUGAUUGCAUGAACUUGGAAAUGAUAGAGGCAUUAGGUUUACCACUAUGGCCCAAAUAACUAUGUUCCCCAAAGAAAAAUGAUAUCAUUAGAUUGCCAAUUUGAGCCGUGUAUGUUGAGCCUUUUAUUUCUUAUUUCCAGAUAUGUCUACCCUUAUACCUGAACCAUUUUUUCCUUACCCUUUCCAAGCGAGCAAUGCGAGAUUGUCUUAUGAGAAACGUUUGUGAAGUGCUUUGAAGGUGUGUGGCAAAAGAAUAAGUGUGGGGGUAUUUCAUGUUUGUAUUUAAAAAAAAAAAAAAAAAAAAAAAAAAAAGAAAAAAAAAAGAAGAAAGAUUGUAUACAAAUGAAAUAAAAAGUUUGUCAAUUUUCAGUUUAAGGGUGUGGUUGGAGGUGCUAAAAGAAUCGUUGGAAAUAUUGAGUUCUUAUAAAUCUAAAUAGAAGAAUUGCUUGCAAUGUAGCUUGGAACUUGUGUUUUCCUAUUCUUUCGUUUCAAUAACCCUCUCCUUAAACCUCAUUACGUCCAAUAAAAGUCCUCUUGAUUUAAGUUUUGCAAUUAUGAUUGUGGAGAUGAGAUCUUUAUGCAAGCUUAUGGUAGAAAUUUCACAUUUGAUUCUUUGAGCGAAACACAUUAAAACUAAACACAUGUGUGAUUGAGUGUAUAUCCCGUGAGAAUGUUACUAGUUUGCAUAUGAUGAUUUUAAAAAUAAAAACUUGAAAUUGCAUUAGCAUGGCUAUCUCACACACUACACUUCAAGGAUGAUUCAAAGAUUACUGCUAAUAUUUGAAUAAGGAAGAUGAACUUGGAUUAACUUGUUUGGUGCUAGCUAUGGUUCUUGACGAUUUGUUUUCUCGAAUGAAAUUCUAUGAGGGUCACAUAGGGGGAAACUAAUGUUUUUCAUGUUAGUGCUUUUUCAUGUUUUCUUUGUUUUGCUCGAGGACUAGCAAAAGUUAAGUGUGGGGGUAUUUGAUCGGAUCAUAUUUAUAUAUAUUUUUACUUCGAAUUCACUCAUCUUUUCUUAGUUAGUUCCUUAUAUUUUUGAGCUAUUUACGUUAUUUUUGUGUUUAUAGGAUUUGUUAUGCAAAGAAAAUAAAAAUAGCACAAAUGAGUUUUAAAUAAUAAACAGAAUAGUUACUUCGAACAUUAUGAUUUUUUUGUAGGUCAAUUAAUUUAGUUUAUUCAUUGCGAUUAUAAUUGAAGUCAUUAUUUGUCUAUUUUCUGAUCGCCAACUUCAAGCAAAUUCUCUUGCUUGCAGAGUUCCUAAAGACGUGACCUGCCUAAGAAUUGUGGAAUGCAUUCGGGAGUCAAUACUCGUAGUAAGCUGUUUAGAAGUGCAAUUGCCCAUCAGAUGCUUCUUAGCUGUUAUGAUCAUAAGCAAGUGUGGCUUUCCAACUAGACAACAAAAGGGAUCCAAGGAAGUGGAAGGCUGAGAGACAGCUAGGAGGCAGAAACGAAAAAUAUAAUAGAGCAGACGCGGGGGGGAGACAUAAAAAGGAUUGGGAGCUGCUGGGGCAGCUAAGAGAAAGGAAAUAAAAAAUAAAUAAAGAAACGGUGAAAAGAAUCCAAGGCAGUAGAGAGGUCAGAGUGCGCCAGAGGGGAAAGCAAAAAGCAGACACGGGACGGAUUGGAAAAAGCUGCCUUGGCAGCGUGUGAGAGAGUGAAAGAAAUAGAAGGGAGCAGGAUAAUUAGAAAAAAAAACGUGACGCGGAGAGAGGGGGCUGCCUCUUGGCAGCUCGCGGAGAGCACAGGGCAGUGUGCGGAAAAAUAAAAAAAAAGGCAGAACAGGAGAGGUGAGGACGUGCAGAGAGAGCAGCAUCGGGGAGAAAAAGAAAAUAAAAAAAGAGAGGUCAGAGAGGGAAGCAGGAAAGCUGCCUUUGGCAGCUGGAAAGAAAGCGGAAGAAAGGGGCUGCCCUUUGGGCAGCUCGCAGGAACGUGCAGAGAGCAGUGAGGAAAGGUGAGGCAAGCAAGAGAGAGCAGUGAGGGAAGGAGAGGCGCAGGAAGAGUGAGGACCGUGAGAACAGGAAGGCAGUACGGGAAUACAAGCUGCCUUUGGCAGCUGGCAGUUGACGCGCGGAAAGGAAAGUCAGCACGCUGCCUUGGCAGCGUGAAAAACCAGGAAGGCAGGCCAGCGAGGCGCAGUUCACACGGGCGCGAAAGCAGCAGAUCACCUUCUUUCGGUUUAAUCUUUCCAAACUCCUAUUUUAUUUCUGUUUUUAAUAAUGUGUAAUUAAACUUAUUUUGGCUAGAGGUUAAUUCAAAGCCAUGAAUAUAUUUGUAAUAUGAAUUGAUUACCUUCGGUUGUGAUUUCAUAAGUUGUGAUUUCAAUUUACUUAUCCGUUCGUAUAAAAACUGAUUUGUGUAUGUUGGUUGAGAGUGCACGCUUAAUUUACAUGCAUGAAUUUGAUGCUAGAAUAUAAGUGAAUUUCACCUAAUCGUUAUGAACUUAUUUUCACAAGUAGUAAAGGUUGCUAGUCACAAUCACGUUAAGUAAAUUCUUGGCAAGAGUAUCAUGCUUUUCAUAGUUACGAAUGCCUCGUCAAUGCUUAUAGUUUUCACAAAGUUUAAUGAUCUUUGAUUGUAUCUCUAUUGUGCUUUUCACGUAGGGGACUUUUGAAGAAUGUUUUGAAUUGUUGUAUGCGUUUUUCCGUCCAAUUCAAUAACUUAAGGAAAACUUGAAGAUUAAAAAAGUGCUGUUCACGGUUAAUCUGGAGUAUUGAGAUUCACAAUUUAUUGAAAGAACAACUGAAAAUCAAUUUAGGUUGCAUAUGUGUCAUGUGUGGAGAAGAACCCUCUAGCUAGUCCGUCAUUUAUCAUUUUACCUUAAUUUUAUGUUUUUAUCAAUUCUGUAAUUUAAUUAAGUUUAAUUUAUUUUUCAUCAAAGCCAAACACCCAUCCAUUAUUAAAUUAUAUUAUUUAGUUAGUUUUCUUUAUUGUUAGUCUUUUAAUUUAAUUUCCGUCCAUUUCAAUUCCUAGUGUCUAUUUUGAUUGUUUUUAUUAUUUUGAGUCAUUUUAAGUGUGUUUCGAAUUAUUAGAGUUUUUAGCCUAGUUUUGUGUCCUUGAGUCUUGUUUAAUAUUUUUUACUUUGUUUUUUUAUGUUUUUAAGAGGUUUUAGCAAGCCCUCCUAAUCCCCGGCCUAGAACGAUACCCUACUUAUACUUAUACUACAAUUGACAAAAAGAGGGUUUAAUUUUGUGUGCUUAUAUUUUUCACAUCAGGUUUUGGUUUUGACGAAUUUGAAAACAAAACAAGUAAAUUAAAGAACUAAUGAAAUCUGCACGAAUUUGAGUAAAUUGAAUGGAUGGAAGGCUAGCUAGGAGGUUCUUCUCCACACAUGACAUACUUGCACAUAAACCAAUUUUCAGUUGUUCUUUCGAUCAAUCAUGAAACUCAACACCCCAGGUUAAUUAAGUCCGCUUAAAUUAACCUUCAAGUUCUCCUUAAGUUAUUGAAUUGGAUGGGAAAACGCAUACAACAAUUCAAGCAUUCUUCAAAAGUUCUUUACGUGAACAGCACAAUAAAGAUACAAUCAAAGAUCAUUAAGCAUUAUGAAAACUAUAAGUAUUGACGAGGCACUCGUUACUAUGAUGAGCAUGAAACUCCUGCCAAGAAUUUAUUUAACGCGAUCGUUUAUAAGCGACCUCCACUACUUGUGAAUAUAAGUUUGUAACUAUUAGGUGAAACUCCCUCAUACUCUAGCAUCAUAUUCAUGCAUGCAAACUAAGUGUGCACUCUUAAUAAACAUACAUGAAUAAGUUAUCAAUCAAGCAGUUAAACAAAUUGAAUUCAUAACUUAUGAAAUCACAACUGAAGGUAAUCAAAUCAUAUUGCAAGCAUGAACAUGGUUUUGAAUUCCCCCCUAGCUAAGGGGGGUUUAGUUCCUCAUACUCACAAAGCAAAGAUAAACAAAUUUAGACAUUGAAAACAAAAGAAUGAAAACACCUAAAAACGCUCCAACAAUCCAACUUGAAUGGCAAGCACGUCCAAGACUCCUUCUUCUCUUUGUUGCGGCACAAGGUGUGGUUUGAUGGAUGAGUGGUAAAUUAUGGUGGUGGAUGGAUAUAGGUGAGUUAUGGUGAAGGGUGGAUGGGUGGAUUGUGUUCUCCCGGCCAAGGAAUGAAAGUGUGAGUGUAUGGAGUUGUGAGAUGUGAAUGUAGUGUCUUUUGAUGGAUCUUUUCUCCUACCCCCUUGUUAUGGUGAAGGGUGGAUGUAUUUAUAGGCUAGGGAGAGGACCACCAUCUAAUUAAGGUGGUAGUGGUGUAUGUUGUGGUAAUGAGUGGAUGUAAUGGGUGUAGUGGAUAGAUGAUUGGUAAUGAGUGGAUGAGUGUUUGGUAAUGAGUGGAUGUAAUGGGUGUAGUGGGUGGAUGUUUGGUAAUGAGUGGAUGUAAUGGGUGUAGUGGAUGGAUGUUUGGUAAUGAGUGGAUGUAAUGGGUGUAGUGGAUGGAUGUUUGGAGUUGUAGGUCAACACACUUGCACACACACAUGCUGAUUUCUAGCCUUCAAAUCUUCAAAAACGUCCAUCCUCAUGUCUCCAUGCUUGCACUAUCUAAUCUUGGCCCAAAAAUGCUCCAAAUAGCACUUUGUUGCUAACUUUGUUAUUUGAACCUACAAACACACGAAAAUAGCUUAAAAUACAUAAUUAACUAAGAAAUAACAACAUAAAUGCACAAGAACAAGCUAACUAAGUCACAUAAAUAUGCUCAUAUCACCUGGUGGCAGCCUUUCCCCUCCCAAGGGAAUAUUGUUUAAGAAGGUAUUUUGUUUUGGCUAAUCGACGGGCCCAUUCUCGUGAGCUUUGUUAACUCGAAUCUCAAGCAACUUAUUAGUCACUAAGUGGCUUUCAAGUGCCUCAUCAUGUUUGUCGUGUAGGUUUUUCACCUCUCAGCCCAAAACUUGCUCAAAUUGUCAAGAUUGUUUUUCCGACUGUCGUCGAAAAAAAGAUUUGAACAGUACACCAGAGGUCUCAUCAUCGUCGUUGUCGUUGUUGUCACAAUCCUCUACUAGGCCUUCGAUAAAACCAUAUUUUGCCACCCUAGUAGUAUGUGUGAAGAUCGCGACAUCAUGGUUCUGACCGCAGAGAUUAAUUUCCAUUUCUCGACGACACAUUACCUUGGACUGGACUUCGAACUGUAGGUGUUAAACUAGUAGUCAAUUUACCCAUAGUUACUGAUCGUGUCUCAAUGGUCAUGAACUUCGUAGUUUUAGCAUUGGGUCCUACUGGGCGUGCAGGCUAAGUAAUUAAUGAGCUAACUACGUCAUUUAGCUGAAUGCGGGACGUGCCAACUUGUUGGCCGAGCUCGGCCAGGGAGUAAAAUGAAUGUUGAUAUGGAGUUGGGCGCACUGCUGACUUUGUGAUCUCGCAAUUGCAACUGAGGAAGGAACACAUCUCGGUCGUCCGGUUCUAGAGCUUGAAGACAAGGCUGCUAGUUUUAUGAAGUUCAAUAUCGAAGCAGUACUGUUUAUCCAAACUGAAUGUGCUUCUCGAUUGGCUGAUUCUACAACUCUAGUACCGUUAAUCCAAACUGAAGAUGUUGCUGGUUGCCUUCACAAUACUGUUUAUCCAAACUAAAGGUAUGUUGGCGAAAAAAAGGAAAAAAAAAUCUCAAGGCUUUUUAGAGGUUGUUUGCACAGGGCAAUUAUGUGUUUAUUUGGAAGGGGCUUUGAAUGAUGCACUCCUUUCUUUAUUUAUAAUAGCAAUUUCCUCAAUUACGGUUAGAAUUUCACUCAGACUAGAAUUCCUCAACCCAAAUUAAUUAGGUUUCGACCAAUCCUAACUCCUAUAGGAUUCUGAACCAAGUUAUUUAAUCACUCGGAUUCAAACCUUGACUCCCGGCAUCUAUUCUAAUUUGAAGCAUCCUUAGCUUCUGAAGAAUCCUCAUUGUACAAAGAUUUGACCACUUCACCUUUAUCCAGACAGAACCAUCUUCUAAGAUGACUCGGUUGAACUCUAUUGGGGCAGGCCUAAGGUAGGAAUAUUCCUGAUACUUCUUACUAAACCGAGAACAAUCAUGGGCUCGACCCAAAGUAUUAUUUUGGGUCUAAACAUUAACCCCUCACUUCCGUCUUCAGCCUAUGACACCUGGCCAAACUUCAACCUUGAAGAAAUGAAUAGUUACCAACCAAAAAUAAAUCUUUGGCCUACACUACAUGGUCGAACAAAUUGUCCUUACAAAAUGAAUAUUCUCCAUCUACCCCCUCAGAUGCAUUUAUAGAACACGAACCCUUACUCUGCAUCUAAGUCCUUAGUAGUCGUGAAUCCUUGACACAUGGUUAUUUCUUGACACGUCUCUCUAACUUCGAUGACACACGCACCUCAUGCCCAAGGCGCGUAGAUGUCGAAAAGUCUCUUCAUAAUAAUCAUUCAACCUUGAUUAACGUGCUUUUCGACCUCUUCACCUGGAUUUUUUAAUUUUGCAAUGAUUAUUAAAUAUUUCGGCCACAUUUGCCCUUUAACUCUCAGAUCUGAGAUCAUCGAUCUUCUUUUCCAGUUGUCUAUAAAUACCAACUCUAGCCUGAUUCCAAUUUUACAGUUUCAAAAAUCCCAUAACUCUUACCAUAUUGCUCUAAUUAUUUGAAACCUAGAAAACCUUCAACCUUUACUCUAAUGGCUUCCAACAUCUUUAUCACCAAACUCACUGAAGAAUACGACACAUGUCCAGGCUUCAUUGAUCACAACGCCAUCAAUGCCCUCUAUUCUGAGGAUGAAGCAAUCCCAACUCACCAAGCUCUAGAACCUCUGUUCAAGGAUGUCAUCCCAGAACCUAUCACCGAGCUACGAAAGAGCAAUUACCUUAAUCCUCUACUUCAAGGCCAUGAUUGGUCAAAAUGGGAAUCGGUCAAACCCCAAGGGGCGUAGCCUUCUACCCCCGUAACCUGGGCCGCUUAGGUCGACUGAAUGGAACCUUACUUCUAUAUCACCUGCAAAAAGUUUGGUAUCUUUGACACCAUCAUACUCUCAACCAUCGAGAUUAGCAUAGAUCGAGAACUCUUAAUAACUGCUCUAAGUUUCUCAAGUUCGGCCACUAACACAAAGGUACUCCCUCUAAGCACUAUAAGGUCGACUGUAUUAGACGUGAUGGCCAUCCUCGGCACAUCCUGGCCUGGCCUUCCAAUUGAUAUCGCCCUUUCCAGGUAUCAAUUUGACCUAAACCUAAAUACUGCUAUAAGUUUCUCGAGUUCGGCCACUAACACAAUGGUACUCCCUCUAAGCACUAUAAGGUCGACUGUAUUGGAGGUGAUGGCCAUCCGCGGCACCUCUCGGCCUGGCCUUCCAAUUGAUAUCGCCCUUUUCCAGGUAUCAAUUUGACCUAAACUUGAAGACAGUCUUUGGGGAACGCACUUAUGAGGUUUUUAAGAGAAAGGAUCAAGAAGUGCCAAAGGAUGAGGUGAACAAGCUCAACAAGAAUUUCUUUAAUUACAGCACGCUCCUCACCUACUUUACUGGUCAGAAUUAAAGUUGCCUCUAGAAAGAAUAGCAUUAGGUCUUCUUGUUUUAUUAGUACAAUAAGUUCAUAUUUUGCUCCAAAUCAAACAAGAGCCUCGCUGAGAACAUGUUAAUUGCUGAAGCCCUAGUUAGUGGUUACCAAUUGGUGAUCAGCCUAACCAUUCUCGCCAAUCUUACACGUUACCUCACUGCGGCCACAGUCGAGAAAAUCGACCUACACUAGAAUGGCCCACUCUAGGUCUUCCAGCUCUGGCUACAGGUUUAUUAUAUAAUCUUAAAGCCAGAAUGACUUUACUUCGAUUCUUCUAAAACAAUGGGUCCUACCUAGCCUCUCGACCUACACCAAACCAUUUGGCCAAAGAAAUAUUCAAAUACUUCUUCGGUCUAAACGACCUUUCUGAUGACGAAUUUAUGAUUUGCCAUCAAAUGACCUAUCCCUCAUCCAUCCAUCUCCCAGCAUCAACUUAGGGAGAGACAGAAGAUGCUGCCUUUCGACAAUAUUGGGGAUCCUUCUUGCUGGCUCUUGACAUUCUGUUUGGUUGCGACACACAUCGAGCUAGCUGGGAAGUAUACCAUCCCCAUUUCUUGGCUUGACAACUCGAUUACCUCUAGGGUUGCCCUUUGCCUUUACUCAAUUCUCACUCGCUUCUAAGCUGAGAAUGACUUUCUAGCUCUUGAGAAAUAGAGUGUAACGAAGUAGAGAAGAACUUUGAAAAACGAUGUGCUAGAUUUUGUCUUCGACCAUAAGCCUCUGAAAUUCAUGGCACUAGUACUUUUGUUGACAGGUAACGAAAAAGGUCUUUGGUGACCGACCCAAGAAAACUCAUGCCUUGGAAUCCGAGAAGGUGGCUCAAGGUAUUUCUCAGUUCUUACAUAUUUCAAUGCAUUCAAUUGAUUACCUUCACAACUAAUUUCUUAUCAGUUAAUCCAACUAGUUGUUCGAUCAAACGUGACGAAGUAGUGGCGAUGGUCACGGCGUAGAAAAAACUUGCCUCACCUCUUAAAAAGGUAGUUGCUACUUCGGCGGUGCCUCCACACCUGCCUCAGCUACUAUUGCCUCGGCAGGUGACACUAUCAUCCCCCAAACAAAGGCAAAAAUGCCUCUUCCCUCUUUAUUGAAAACUACAACCCCACAAGGCAAACCCUUGAAGAAGAAAGCUAAAAAGGGGUUGCAUGAAAUUCACAUGAUCUCCAACCAAGACACAAAAAUGACUACUACUGAAGUCAUUCAUCAUCCUACUAUUGAGGUACAAAUGGAAAUGUUACCAGAUACCUCGGUUCCAACUACUAACCAAACAACCACUAUACAACCAACGGCACAACCUGCCGUCCUUGUUGAACAGCCGACUCAAAACCUUGGGGCCAAGGAACCUGUAGUUCAGCGGUCGACCCUCAAAUUGAGGUAACUAUUAUUGAUUUAUAGCCCAGCGCUACUCUUGAUGAGGCAAUGGUCGACUCGGCCACUGUGGCUCCCUCAUUUAAUCCAAAGAUCACCAUUGCAUCGUUCGUUCUGGAUGAAGAAUUAUGAAGACAUUUUAACAUUUUAUAUAUAUAUGUAUACCUCAAAAAACUUGAACCAAAUUUUCCUAAACUUUCCUUUGUGAUCAGGAAGGUGAUGACGAGCUGAUUCAUCUCGUGAAGCGCCUUCGAACACCUAGGCAGCUGGGUGCAACUCCAUUGCCCAUGGACAAAGGGAAGGCCGUCAUGUCCUCAACACCUGGUCUUGACCAAGAUGUGAUCCAUUUUUUGGUUGAGCCAACUAGUAUUGCUGCUCUCGAGGCGGUCAUUGUAGGGACAGCAGAUGAACCGGUGGUUUCUGCAAAACCUAAAGCGACAUCGAAGAUGCUGCUUCAUCCUCAGGAUCAAGACCUCGGCAUCCCUGCUUAAGAUGUUACUUCUACCUUUGUAAGUUCUUCUUGAACUUGAUUUUAACCAUUGAUUCUAGAAUUCUAAAACAAAACAUCAAAUGUCAGGUGCUUAGUCAUUCAUCUCAACGAAAAUUUUAUGUGUCGAAGGGCGUUGUCUACAUUUCAUGGCCACCUAAGUGGCCAUAAAACAUAGAUACCCUUCAUCGACCAUAUGAAGUACAGAGCUAUCUUAAACAUUAGCCUCAGCCAUUAAGCUCUCUAGGUUCAACCAACAGCCCAGAAGACAUGGCCAAAGUCAUUUAUCGAUAGGUCUAAAAACAUUUCUCUUUCGUCACUCUCUUUUAGAUUUUGCUCGUUUAACAUUUCUUUUGUGUAGCCUUCAUGGGAAGUUAAGGUUGACGCAUAUCUUGCCAACACAUCUAGGACGGUCAGCCAUUUUGUAGCCCUCACAUAGUCCAAUGCUCUAACCAAACUACAAGAGACUCAAUCUCUUUCAGCUUUGUAAACUCUUCAAACAAAAAGUCUCGACUCUAAUGAAAAGUGCUUGAACAACCUUGCAGUUGAUGAUCUGGUAAGUAAUGAAAGUUUUGUUCACUUGACGAUCAUCUUGGAGCGAGCUCGGCCAUACUUUGAUAUUUUUUUAGAAAACUCUACAAGCUGAUAAUGACCUAAAAGCCAUAACGGUUGCUCAAAAAGCUAUCUUACCAGAGCUAGAGGCAAUCAAAGCAAAGAAAAAGAAAAUGGUAGAUCUCGACAGUCAGAUCACCGAGCUUCAAUCCCAAAGAUAUGCCUUUGCCUCUGAGCUUGAGAAUGAUAUUGAGGCAAACAAACCUCGAUAGGCAGAGUAUACGGUCAGCGCAAAGCAGAUACAAGCGUUAAAGGCUGACAAGAGGACUUAGCAGGCUGAGAUCACUAUGGGCGAAGUAAAAUGGUUGGAGCUAAAAGCCAUACUUGAAGCGUUCCUUCCUUUGACCCCAUAGAUUAUAAUUGCCAGUACCGAUUGACUUUUCUUAUAUAUAUAUACUUUUUGCAAUAUUAAUGAAUAUUAGUGAAACAUCUUUACUCCUGCAUCUCCCAAGUAACAGAAUAAUAUUUCUUUAAGAACUUCCCAUUAAUCGACAACUUGUGCACCGAACCAGUUCAAUCCUUGAGAUGGUAUAGCCCAUUGCCGAGAAUCUUGUGAAUGAUAUAUGGUCCUUCCUAAUUCGACGACCAUUUCCCAAAUAUGGGUUCCUUGAUCCCAACUUGGAACACCAUUUCCCAGACUAAGUCACCUUCGCCAAACACCUUUUUCAAUACUCGUUUAUUAUAAGCUCACUUGGCGAUCUUUUUUAUGCUACUAACAGAUUAUAGGUAUCAAGUCGAGCCUCUUCUAGAUCCUUUAAAUCCUGCCUCAUUGCUUGACUAUAUUAGGCUCUGAACAAUCUACUUUGUUCGAUAAUUUGCAACGAGUUUAUUCUUAGCUUGACUUGCAGAAUUGUAUCAUGUCCAUGAGUCAAAGCAUAUGGAGUCAUUUCUAUCGAUGAUCGAAGUGAUGUUUGAUAUGCCAUAAUGCCUCAUUUAAUUUUAAAUGUCGCAUGGCAGGCCUUUCCUUCACCAUUUUCUCAAGGAUACCGAUUAAAACUUUCUUACUCAUCUCGGCUUGCCUGCUCGCUUAUGGGUAAUACGGCAUGGAUUGUUCGAGCCAUGAAAAGUUUACCGUUAUUUGUGAUAAUUGUUUCUGGCACGCCGAAUCUUGUUACAAUAUUCUGUUCUUCGACCCACUUGGUGAAGUAAUAUGUUACUACAAGUAUCCAUGUGGGUUUCGUCGAUCUAGAUGAUGGUGUGAUUUUGCCAAUCACAUCAUAGCCCAUCCUUUGAAUGGCCAUGGUGAUCGAAUGAAGCAAUUCAGCCAGGACCUUUUGGAUAGGUCAGUGGAUUUGACAUUACAAACAAUUGUGUGCAUAUUCUAUACAAUCUUUUAAAAUACUCGGCCAGACAUAUCUGUGUUGGCGGAACAACCAACAUAUUUUCUACCGGAUUGAUGGGUGCCACAUAUUCCUUUAUGCAUUUCUUCAAUAGAUUGAACAUCUUCUUCUGGGCUAAGACAUAGUAACAACAACCAUCAUCGCCCUUUUGGUAUAACUGUUGGAAAUGUGCCCUAAAACCAAUCAUGUGAUGAUACUUUACGGACAUUUCACAUGUUAAACUAAUCUAGUUUAAUAUAAAGGGCAAAUAUUAUUGUUUGAGCCGUCUCAUAUAAAUGUUAUAUGCUUAAACGAGAAAGUCCAAGGAAUAUGUGAUUGGGAGAAUGCAAUCUAAUGAAGUUAGAUUCAUGAGACCAUUCUUUCGUAGACACAUCCUAAAUGUUCCUGAUCAUAGGAUUGCCAAUUGGGCAUUGACAGUCCGUCAAGAUUGGUACGUGCUAUGUCUUCUCUCAGGGAGAGUGACUAGUCUCGAGUCAUUGGUGUGUGUGACAUCAAGACAAGUACGUAGGUGCUCAGUAGAGAAUGAGUUCACUGAACGCGAUCAACGAAGAGUUCUCAUACUCAUGUCACAUGAGAACUCAUGUCACAUGAGAACUCAUGGUUGGGAUAAUGCAAAGUAGUCCUUUGACCUGAGUCAUCACAGUUGUCUUGUGGUUAAGUCCUUGAUCUUUGAUUAUGUCAAACGUCAUUCCAUUGGAGUGUCCACGGCAUCGUUGGGGUUAAGCCACUUAGCCAUGGAGGCAAGUGAAUGCGCAACAAGGGAUCUCUAACCUUCAAACUGUUUGAGGGAGAAUACUUUGAUAUGAUAUAUGAUUUAGAAUCUCUGGCCAGAGUAUGAAUGAGAUUUAGAAAAGUCGUUCUAAAUCACAUUCAAGGUAAUCAUAUAAGCACACGAAUCACAUUGGAUAGUAGACAUGAAUAAAUAAACUAUCAAACCAAACAAUGUGGUCAAGAGUAUUGUAUUAGAGAAAGACCGUAUUGCAUUUGUAAUCCCAAACUGAAUAGGUUUUUCUCUACCUCUUCUGAUUAGCUUGGGUAACCAUGAUAUGCUGCAAGGUGUCACUCAUGGUUUGUGGAAGCCCUAAACGUGUGUAAUCACUAAAGGGAGAAUUGAAAGUAAGUUUCAAUUCACAAUCGAUAUAAAAUGGUUUUAAUCGCCCACUGCCUCGCUAAAAGGAACCUAAUGGAUCGCACACCGUGUAAGGUGGAGAUUGAAGAAAUAAUGGAGAUGAGUAAGAAUGAUUAAAUGGUUUAAUCAUUUAUUUAUGGCAAGGAUUAAUUAAUAUGUUAAUUAAUCAAACGAAUAAGUUUGUUAAAGACCUCAGGAUAGUUUUGGACAUUAAGGCCCAAUGGGCUUUGAACGUCAAGCCCAUUGACUUAAGUUGUAUGACAACUUAAUGAAUAAUGAUUCACAAAGGCCUAAUUAGCCCAAAAAUACCCUAGGGCCGGCCAUGAUGCUAAGGGUAGUGAACUUGGACUUAUUUACAAGUUUGCCACUCAAAUGAAUAAAGGUAUAAAUAUCACUUUAUAGCCUAAAAUUCAUAAGGGUUUGUUUUGGAGAAAAUUGGUGAGAACUUGUCUCUCCAUUUCUCUCUAAAGAGGCCGGCCACCUUGGGGGUGCAUCUUGCAAUCCCACUACUCCAAGGUCACUCAUUUCUUCUCCAAUCUCUCCUUGGUGAAGAGACUUAGAGGUUCCCUAUUUUGGGAACUUGGAGAAACCUAUUCAUCCAUCCAAAUCCAUAGAUUUUAGAUGCAAGGAAUGAAGGCCCUCUCUUUGGGUGAUUAGCCUUUGCUUAUGCAAAGAGGAAUCUACAAAGGUACAAUUUCAACUCACUUUGUUUUGAGUUGAGUUUUGGUUCACCAAUCUACUAGGCUUUGAAUUUCUUGGUUAAUGUUUUGUUUUUAAGUGCAUGCUAGCAUGAUUCCGCCUUUAAUUGUUAAUUGCAUGCUAUAUGAUGUUGCUUAAAUGAACAUGUUUUCACAAAAUAUUCCUUCAAUAACUCAUUUUGAUAUAGCACAUAAUUUGUAGCGUGCACCCUUGUCAUGCGGUCAUGCUUGCCACUAAGAUUGUCGAGAUAUCGUAUGAUCGAUCUUCUCCAAUCAUUUGGCAAGGUUUCGACUGUGCAGAUAUCUACGGGAGCCUCUCGUUCCAGUAACGAAGGCAAAGACAUAACCCGUGUCUGAAUUAUACCAUCCAAUUUGAGAGUUUGUUGAUUGACCAAGGCCGGGUAUGGAUGUCGAUCGACUGGUAUGACUCAGCUUACCUCACUUCCCAGAAGUUGUGCACCGGAGGCUAUUUGAGCCAACUCAUCAACAUCAGUAUUAUGAAGUCGAGAGACAUUUAUGAAUGUAAUGCUUGCAAAUGAUUUGGCCAAAUAACUGGCAACCAUGUGAUAAGGUGCUAGGGUACAACUUAAGCAACGAAAAGUCUCAUUAAGUUGGUUAAUCACAAGCUUUGAAUCACCGAGGACAAGUACUUAAGCUAUGAUAGAAGCAUAUUUAUGCAACUUAGUUAGCUUUUAUCUUGGCAUUUAUGUUGUUAGUUCCUAGUUAUUUUAGUAAUUUAAGCUAUUUUCGUGCGUUUGUAGGUCCAAAGGGCUAAAGUAGCAAGAAAGUGCAAUUUGGAGCAUUUUGGAGCAGUUUUGGGCUUGGAAUGGAUAACACAUGCAUGGAGCAAGGUGGAUGGAUGAAUUUGACGGCCAAAAGAGGCUAGGAUUAUGCUGAAGUUAUGAAGAAAUUAAUUCAAGAAAAGGAAGUAAAGGAUGCAAGCAAGAAAUAGAAGGAAUGUUAGCCAAAGUUACCUUAUUUUGUCCUAAACUUUCCUAAUCCUUCACUACUUAAUUUCCAGCUGCAAGGAGGAUCUUUAAUUAAAUUGGGAGACUUAAAUUCAGACCUAAACCCAUUCCUAUAAGGUGUCGCACCACCUUUCCCUUUCCUUUUCCCUUGCCAUGCAAGGCAAACCUCUUUUCCCUUGCCCCUUGCCGCAUAUCCCAUUCCCCUUUCCUACUAGGAUCAUGCCGUACCCUACUUACCCUUUUCCUCUUAGGAUUCUGAUUUGUUACCCUUUUCCUCUUGGGAUUCUGAUUUGUUACCCUUUUCUUAGAGGAUUUGGAGUACUAAACCCUUCCCAAUUUAAUUACCAGCCAUGCCCUUCCUUAUCCUAUAAAUAAAGGCCUUUGUUGCAGCUUUUGAACUAUCCAUCAACACAUCCCAUCCCAUCCUAAACCCAUUCACCACACAUCCCUUCAUACAAUUCAUCACCCAAACCCUUCACCCACACCUUGUGCCACAACAAAGAAGAAGAAUGAGGACCCUUGGACAUGCUUGCCAUUCAAGUUGGAUUGCUGGAACAUUCUUAGGUGUAAUCCACCUUUUGUUUUCAAUGUUUAAGUUUAAUUAUCUUUGUUUUGCGAACAUGAGGAGCUAAACUCGUUUUAGCUAGGGGGAAAUUCGAAGCCAUGAACAUAUUUGCAAUAUGAAUUGAUUACUUCCAGUUGUGAUUCUAUAAAUCGUGAAUGCAAUUUACUUAACUGUUUGAUUCAAAACUUGUUCUUGUUUGUGGAUUAAGGAUGCAUACUUAGUUUGAAUGCAUCAAUUUGAUGCUAGAAUAUAAAGGAGUUUCACCUAAUCAUUAUGAACUUAUAUUCAUAAGUAGUGGAUGUUGCUAGUCAUAAUCAUGUUAAGUAGAUUCCUGGCAGGAGUAUCAUGCUGUUCAUAGUUAUGAAUGCCUUGUCAAUGCUUAUGAUUUUCACAAAGCUUAAUGAUCUUUGAAUGUAUCUCUAUUAUGUUGUUCAUGUAUGGACUAUUGAAGAAUAUUUGGUUGCCGAUGCGUUGUCCAUCCAAUUUAAUGACUUAAAGAAAAUCUGAGGUUUAAUUAGUGAUGUUCACGGUUAAUCUGGGCUGUUGAGGUUUAUGGUUUAUUGUAAAAGCAACUGGAAAUCGAUUUGUGUGAAGUGUGUCAUGUGUGGAAAAGAACCCUCUAGCUAGCCAAUCACCCAUAUUUUCCCCCAAAUUCGUGCUAAACUUGUUUAAGUCUUUAGGUUACUUGUCUUUACUUUAAAUUCGUCAAAAACCCAAUCACCUUUACUUGGUUAAGUCAAAUUAGUUAGAAUCUGUCCAAAUUUGUGUUUUUAAGUGUUUUGAGUCAAUUUGAAAUCAAUUUUCGUCCAAAUCACUCUGUAGUGUCUAGUUUGAGUCAAUUUGAUUGUUUUGUGUUGUUUUGAGUCUUUUUAGUUUGUUUUGAGUUCUUUGAGUCUAGUUAAGUGUUUUCAAGCCUAAUUUUGUAUUUUUGAGUCAGUUUUAAGUAGAUUAGCAAUCCCUCCUAAUCCCCGGCCUUGAAAGAUCCGUACUUCAUCUUUACUACAAUUGUCAAUAAGAGUGUUUAAUUUGAGUGCUAGUUUAUAUCACAUCAAGCUGCCUUCAAGUCGUGAAGAAUAUUAAGACUGAUAACAAGGGCUUCGUAUUUAGUUUGUGAGGAUCGGAGAUCAAGAAAUACCAAAGAGCGACCGUUUUCGUUACCUAGGAUCUAUCUUGCAAAAGAACGGAGAAUUAGAUGGAGAUCUCAACCAUAGAAUACAAGCUGGAUGGAUGAAGUGGAAGAGUGCAUCCGGCGUGUUGUGUGACCGCCGUAUGCCACUGAAGCUCAAAGGAAAAUUUUAUAGGACAGCAAUAAGGCCGGCGAUGUUGUAUGGCACAGAAUGUUGGGCGGUGAAGCAUCAACACGUACACAAAAUGGGUGUAGCGGAGAUGAGGAUGCUUCGUUGGAUGUGUGGGCACAUGAGAAAGGAUAAGAUUAGGAAUGAGGAUAUCCGGGGUAAAGUAGGAGUAGCCGAAAUUGAAGGAAAGAUGAGAGAAAAUCGGUUACGGUGGUUUGGACAUGUGCAAAGAAGGCCUACUGACGCUCCAAUUAAAAGAUGCGACUAUGGGACAGAGGUUCAGGGCCGAAGGGGUAGAGGAAGACCUAGGAAAACUUUGGAAGAGACCCUAAGAAAAGACUUAGAGUACUUGGAUCUAACGGAGGACAUGACACAGGACAGAACACAAUGGCGUUCUAAAUUCAUAGAUUCAUAUAGCCGAUCCCACUCAGUGACUUGGAUUUUCCAAGUCUCCAACCGAGAAGUUUUCCUCACUCGGGAAAUUAAGGGAACACUACCUCAACCUACAUGCUCCACUCACAAAGCUUCAACAUACAAGCUUCAACAAAAGAAAAUUCAAAGAACUUAGCGAAGAAGGCUUUGGUGUAUUUAACACAAUACGUUGAAAUGAAGGAAAGCUUAUUUAUUGAUAUCCCCGAUAAGUUACAAAUAUGAACAUAUACUUGAGUCAAAAUAAACAAACAAGAGGGAGCCUUCAUAAAGGUUGCUUAGGAGAAGUCUCAGCAGUCGGUAGAGCCCCAGAAAGAGAAGGCACCAGAGGGUGAUCAUUCGGAGCCUCAGUACUGGACAGAACCCUAGACGGAGGAGGCAUCAGAGGUUGAUCAUUUGGAGCUUCAUUACGCGGUACAGCCCCAGAAGACGAAGGCAAUAAAUGCAUUUGGAACAAACCCACAAAUCUCUGAUGAUCAAGUAAAACCUGACCAUCAGAUUCCUUCAUCUGGUCAAGCUUCCUCUUCAUGUUUGUAGCAUAGUCAUGUGCGAGCCGGUGCAACUGUUUAUUCUCAUGCUUGAGCCCUCUAAUCUCCUGUUUGAGACUCAUCACUUCAGCCGCCAAUGAUUCAACUUGGCGGGUUCGAGCAAAUAGGCGUUGGGCCAUAUUAGACACAAAACCUACACACUGAACACUGAAAGCCAGAGAAUCCUUAACAGCCAACUCAUCAGACCGUUUGGAAAGUAGUCUGUUAUCUUUGGGAGUGAGAAGGUUCCUGGCCACUACCGCAGCGGUCAUAUCAUUCUUCAUCACGGAAUCCCCAACGGUAAGAGGACCAGUAGGGGAGACGAAGGAUGGGCGCCAUAUGUUGUCUGAAGAAGGCGGGGCUGCCUCUUCAACAAGGUUCAAGUCAAAACGACGGUCGGAGGGGCCAGACAUUUUCAAAGGUGUUGAAGAGAGAGAAGAGGUCGGAACAAAUCAAGAUCUUAUAAGUGCAAGAAUGGAGCUUCUACUGGUGGAUAUUCAAGUGUGCUUUGGAACUUAAUGUCAGCCCCUAUAAAAAUCUACACUCGACGAAGCUUCAGAAAUCGAAGAGGCGCCUGCUCAGAAAUCGAAGAGGCGUUUGCUUUCUCAAAAGCUGGGCUGCUCAGAGACCACGAGGGUCGAUCUCAAAAAUCGAAGAGGCGUUUGCUUUCUCAAAAGCUGGACUGCUCAAAGACCACGAAGGCCGAUCUCAGAAAUCGAAGAGGCUUGCUUUCUCAAAAGCUGGGCUGCUCAGAGACCACGAGGGCCGAUCUCAGAAAUCGAAGAGGCACCUACUUUUCCAGCCUUGUCAGCACCUGUCACACGCACACUCAGCUUUGCGGAAAUUAUGGGCAUUCUGUCGAAGAUUUCUGGCGAAGUAGAAAGCACAUGAAUCGUACUGUUCAAUCACCCACUUCCCACACGCAACAGUAGCUCACGGGUACCACAGAUAACUUUGCCAAAGUUCUCUGACAAAGUUGAGACACGUGAAGCUUGCAGCUUCCACUACAUCGCUCUGACCAAGAAGGGUAAAAGAAUAGCAAAGAAACAACACUAACAAAGUUUAGACACAUAAAUUUUGAAGGUCUAGCUACCAUAUUAUUACCCACAAGGGUAAAGGAACAGUACCACUGCUGCUGGAUAAUUGGAAAGUCCCGUGUGUGUCAACCUCUGUGCUUCGUGGCAAGGUAGACUAGCAAACAUGCCCAACCUUUACUCACAUUCGAGAAAACACUCCCAACAAGAUUGCUUGCUCCAAAAUCGAAGAGGCACCGCCCUCCGAAUCUCGAGAGCCAGACUCCCAACAUGAUUACUUUCUCAAAAAAUCGAAGAGACACCGCUCUCCGAAUCUCGAGAGCCAGACCCCCAGCAAGAUUGCUUUCUCAAAAAUCGAAGAGGCAUCGUUCUCCGAAUCUCGAGAGAGAGCCAGAUCCCCGACAGGAUUGCUUGUUCAAAAACCGAAGAGGCACCACUUUCCCAACUUCAAGAGCUGGAUCUCCUUGGAUAAAGCUUGUCUGUAAUCUUCACACGCAACAUCAGCUUUCCAGAUACCACAGAACCACUUUUUCAAAGUGCUCUGACAGAGUUAAAACAUGUGAAGCUGGCAGCUCCCACUACCGUGCUAUGACCAAGCAGGGUAAAGGAAUAGCAUUAUUACUUGAUGUUAGGGAGACUCCUAUAUAUGUCGACCUCCAUCCCCAACGGACAGGCAGACCUGCAAAAAUGCUCAACCCUUCCUCUUAUCUGAGAGGGCACUCCCAACGAAGCCUUUCGAAAUAUUCAGCUUUCUUUCCCCCCGAUAACACCUCUGUAAACAAGCUAUACUAGAGCAAGAAUAUCUCAUAUCAUCAGGGUUAAAAGCAAGAGUAUCCCAUAUCAUGCUUUUUCCCUAUCUUUUCCUUUGGCCUUGUUCUUACCUGAAAGACAAGGAGAAAAGAGAGCAAUCAGUCAGCACUUGGAAUCAAGCUUCCAGCCAGGAACUGACUGCCUGGAACCCCUUACCUGAUUACUUACCUGGCAUUGCUCUCGAGUACUCAUCUUCAACAUCUUAUGCUUCCAGGGAAGAUACCACAUCUGCCUGAGGAACAGAUAGGGCAAGUGAGAAGGAUACAAGGAAGCAUGUGGAGAUAAGCGUAACAGCACAAGUGCCGAUACAUCCACUACCCUGUCAAAAGCAAAAGUAUCCCAUAUCUGCAGGGUCGAACGUACUCUAGAUUUGAUGGACUUGUUUUGACCCUCAAAUUCUUCAGUCGGCCUUAUACUCUGGAGGAAACCAGAAAACCCUCCAGCCCAGUUCAAGAAUAAGCCUGUGGAAAGUUACUUCUUCAAAAGCAAAAGUAUCCCAUAUCAUCUCUUCUCAUUUUUCUUCUCUUUAUCCUUCAUGCUGCCUGCAAGAUAGGGAGAAUGUGAACAAUCAGCCGGAUCUCUGAUUGCUUACCUUGUCUGUCACCUCUUUCAGCAGAUCCCCUAGCUCGGCGACUUGGGGGACUCCUACUACAUGGUUUGUAUUGCGCUUGACCAAGCCUGAAACUACAAGUAAGCUUCAAGUGAAAUUGAUACAUUACCUUGUGCAUCUCCACCAGUUACAGAUACCACCCCUGGAUGGAGGAAGAGUACUUCCAGAGAAGAUGCCACAUCUACCUAUGAGACAGAUAAGGCAAGUCAAGACGAUACCACACUCCGGUACUUAGAAGUUUCGUGGUUACGAGAUCAUUCUCCCACAAUAUUUCCUAGGGGUGGUUCGGGUCGGGAUCCCGAACCGAAACUCCUUUCCCAAAUCCCAAACCAAAACAUUUCGGGAUGGGAUUUUAUAUCCCAAAACCGAACCGAAAAUGUGCAUUUCCCGAAAUUCGGGAUUCCCGAAAGUGUUUUGGGAUUUUCGGGAUACUUCGGGAUUGGUUAAAAACAAACCAUCAUUCCAUCGGAGGAGGUAUCAAAUGAACUCAAAACACUACAGAUGACUAGUAAGCCAGAGAACAUGUGCCGCAUAUAAAUGUGAACAAAGAACCCUCACCAAUAGACUUAAACACAUUAUCCAUAAAUUAGAAAGUAAUAGAUUGGUGGGGUGGGUUUCAUGUAUCUAUUUUGCAGAAUAUAUAAUAGAGUGGACCUCCUGGACAAUAAUUCGACUUAAAGACUAGAAAGUGAAUUCAGAUAAAAAAUUAAGGAGACAAUGACCAUAUAUAAUUUACUCAGAUAUUGGUAGGUAGAAACUGGCCUGAUUCAAGAGGCCGGUGAUGGCUGCGCGGCGGUGGAUUGGAGCUCCGGCUGCGGCGCUUCGUCUACUUCCACUUUACUCUCCAUCCUCCUCCUCUGUGCUUCUCCGUUGCUGUCGCUUAGUCGCUUGGCACAAGCGGCGGAUUGCAGAAAACGCCUUGGAGUUGGACAGUUAUAAGUUAUAACUUUGGCACCCUUUCUCUCAGCUUGAACAAUGGCUUCCUCAAUCAAGCUAUUGAUGGCCGAGACUGUUUGUGAGAGUGUGUGUGAGGGAGAGACUGAGACUGUGAGUGAGAGUGGAGCGCAGAGAGUGAACGAGAGCGGAGCACAGAGAGUGAGCGAGAGCGGAGCACAGAGAGUGAGCGAGAGUGGAGCGGAGAGACCGAGAGUGAGUGAGUCCGAGAGAUCUGAUCACCAACCUAAUAAAAUGACCUAACUAAUGGACGGUUGGAUUAGAUUUUAACAAAUCCAAUGGUUCAAGUAAUUUCUAAUUAUAAAUUAUAAAUUAUAAAUAAAUAAAUAUAUAUAAUAAUCGGUUCGGUUCGGGAUUACCGAAAGCUUUCAAAGCUGUGGCCGAAUCCCAACCCGAAACUUUCGGGACGGGUUCGAUUUCGGGUACCGAAUGUUUCGGGAAAUUCGGUUCGGGAAUUUUUCGGUCAAGUUUCAGGACGGGAUCGGGAUGGUUCGGGAUUUUCGGGAAAAAAUUCCACCCCUAAUAUUUCCUAAUGUCAUUUGUACUAAAUCAUUCACUUGUACUCACUAAAGGAGAGCUUGAACCUAUGUACUUGUGUAAACCCUUCACAAUUAAUGAGAACUCCUCUAUUCCGUGGACGUAGCCAAUCUGGGUGAACCACGUACAUCUUGUGUUUGCUUUCCUAUCUCUAUCCAUUUAUAUACUUAUCCACACUAAUGACUGGAGCAAUCUAGCGAAGAUCACAAAAAGUGACCGUUUUCGCUACCUAGGAUCUAUCUUGCAAGAGAACGGAGACUUAGAUGGAGAUCUCAACCAUAGAAUACAAGCUGGAUUGAUGAAGUGUAAGAGUGCAUCCGGCGUGUUAUGUGACCGUCGUAGGCCACUGAAGUUGAAGGGAAAAUUUUAUAGGACGGCAAUAAGGCCGCGAUGUUGUAUGGCACAGAAUGUUGGGCGGUGAAGCAUCAACACGUACACAAAAUGGGUGUAGCGGAGAUGAGGAUGCUUCGUGGGAUGUAUGGGCACACGAGAAAGGAUAAGAUUGGGAAUGAGGAUAUCCGAGGUAAAGUAGGAGUAGCCAAAAUUGAAGGAAAUAUGAGAGAAAAUCGGUUCCGGUGGUUUGGACAUGUGCAAAGAAGGCUUACUAACGCUCCAGUUCGAAAAUGUGACUACGGGACAGAGGUUCAGGGCCGAAUGGGUAGAGGAAGACCUAGGAAAACUUUGGAAGAGACCCUAGGAAAAGACUUGAGUACUUGGAUCUAACGGAGGACAUGACACAAAACCGAGCGCAAUGGCGUUCUAGGAUUCAUAUAGCCGACCCCACUUAGUGGGAAAAGGCUUUGUUGUUGUUGUUGUUGUUGGUACAGUCGAAAUAUAACUUAAAAGCAAAGAACCAUCGAUAAUGGCUAGGGGAUUGAAUGACGAUGCCAACACUAACCGAGGUCACAAUACUGGACCGGUCGAAAUACAUCGUUCAAUAAUUAUCACAUGUUAAUACCAUGUUGAUGUCAACAUCGUUGCCUCCAAAUCUGUAUAGAGAAAGGUGUUAAGCUAAGAAAUCGGCCAAAGCCUGACCUUAGACUGCCUUUUGGGGCACGUACUGCAAACUAAAUUCAAAUAAAGCCAUUGCCCAUUUGCUAAUUCGGCCUUUGACUAUUGGCUGAAUAAGAAUGUAAUGAAUAACAUCAGUUUAGGCAAUGACUUGAGUAACGGACUGCAUGUAAUGCCUGAGUUUGGAUGCGGCAAAGAAUAAAGUCAGGCAAAGUUUUUCGACGACUAAAUAAUUUAUCUCAGCUUAUUGAGAUUCGGUUGAGGUAAAAAAUGGCAUGUUCACGACCAAUAUCAAUAUCUUAUGCCAGAAGGCAACCAAUAAAUUCUUCGAUACCUAAGAUAUACAAUUUUAAAGGUUUGCCAUUCUGAGCUGGCAUGAGAACAAGAGGGUGAGUGAGAGACACUUUAAUUUGUGUAAAAGCGGCCUGAUGUUCUUCAUGCCAUUCGAAUUGGUUGGAAUCUUUUAGAUUUAGAAGCAUUGAAAAAGAUUUCAUUUUCCCCACCAAAUUAAAUAUAAAUCAGUGAAGAAAAUUGAUCUUGCAGGGCGAGGAUUGUAACAACUUUUUUGUUGUCGGGGGUAGGGCGUCUAUAAUUGCACGAGCUUUGUUCUUAUCCACCUCGAUCCCUCAGUGAUGCAUGAGGAAACCCAAACAAAUUCAUGCAGACUUGCCGAAGGCACAUUUAGCAGGGUUUGUUUUGAGUUUAUGUUGACACAUACAGAGAAAAGUACGUUGAAGAUCCUCUAUUGUUCGGUAGCGUUUAGACUUGACCACGACAUCGUCAAUAUAUACUUCAACAACGGUGCCUAUCAGGUCAUGGAAUAUGGUAUUCAUGGCACGUUGAUAUGUGGCACCGGUGUUCUUAAGUCCAAAAGGCAUGACAACCUAUUCAUAAGUCCCUAAUGCCCUAGGGCAUCGAAAAGUAAUUUUAUGGACAUCUGCUUCAACAAUAAAAAUUUGAUUGCAACUAGCGUGGCCAUCCAUGAAAGAUAAAAUUUUGUGGUUUGUUGCGACAUCAAUUAACAAAUAUGAAGUUGGCAUUGGGUAUUCAUUUUUAGGAGUUGCCAAAUUUAGAUUACGAAAAUUGAUGUAGAUACGCAAGGCAUUACUCUUCUUCAUGACUGGUACAAUGUUCACCAACCAUUCAACGUAUCUGGCUAUCUGAAUAAAAUCGGCUUUUAAAAGUCGAACAAGUUCAUCUUUCAAUUAGUGUUUGAUCAAGUCCAUGCAUCUCAUGGUAGCUCUAAGUAAAUUAAUCUUUAAAUUCCUUGAGUAAGGUACAAAGUUCAGCCUUCAUAGGUAGAGGGCAACAAGGAACUAAUAAAUCAAGGUCGAGGGUCAUUGGCCGUCCCAACAUUUAUCUCUUUUAAAGGAUCUUUGACUUUGAACAAUUGUCUUCAAGUUGAACUGGUGCAGCUUAGACUUUAUCUAACGUCAAAACGGGGUCGUUAUUUACUUCAGCGAGGAAUUAUACCAAGUUUACACCUGAAUUUGGCUGCUUGGAGAUAGCGUACCAAUGGGAUAACAAUCAUUCUAUAAUAGAUGAAAUCAUGGUUGUGGGUCUGUCCAGUCGUGUUGUAUCAGUCAUUAGGACAAUCAGCUAAAUCGACCAAUCCAAGCUUUGCCAAAUCCUGUUAAAUAGUCUUGGCACCAACCUCAAUGAUUUUCUGAACGAAGAUCCUGAUCAGCCGUCCUCUUUGUUAAAGCCUUGUAAGGUGAUAUAGUCGACUAGGUUGUCAUAAUAAUGGGCUUGAAUCAUGUUGGCUUCGAACGCCUUGUUAUCGGUCGGAUGAACUACGGUCGAUAUGCCGUCCCAAAAAAUAAGGACCUAGUAUAAUGAAGAAAGAUACAACCAAUCUAGUGGAUCCAGUCAUGACCGAGCAAUGCAUUGUACUUGGUUUUUAAUCAACUAUGAAAAACAUGGUCAUAUGAUUUCGACCUAUUAUAUUUUCUUCCAAAUGAAGUAUUCCUUCAAUCUGAGAUUUAUCACUAACACAGCUGCUCAUGGUUACGCCAGAUAGAAUGAGCUCAUCUUUAGAGCAGCGCAAAGCUUUCAUUAUGGAAACGGGCAUAACGUUGACCGUUGUUCUGUAGUUAAUGAAAACUUUGGAUAUUGAAUAUCCUUCAAUAUAGGCCGUUACGUACAAUGGCUUCAAAUGAUGAAGGUUUACGACCGAGGAAUGGGGAAAUAGCUCGACUAAGGCUGCUCUAAGCUUAUCCUCCUUGGUAAUCGAUUUGGCCUCUAUGAUGGCCAUGAAGUCAACUUGUGUAGUCUAUUGGCAACCACAUCAUCAUCCAAAAAGCUUAGUUGAGAUGUGGUUGGGAACUCUACAGAUAGGACAUGAACCAUGCUAAUUUCCAUGUUGUCAAGGAUUGAAGGCCCUAUUGGGUCGUGAUCCUUGUCCUCUAGAUCAUUUGGCAGAAUAUCUUGAUCUAUAGCUUAACCAAUUGCAUCAUUUACAACUACAGGUGUCAGAGAAUGCUCACCUAGCGUGUUUGGCAUGGUCGUUACAAUUUCAACUUCGACAACUAAUUCCAAUAGUGCUAAGACUUGGUCCUGUGUUUGUAGAGCCUUACGAGUCCACUCUUGAUAUAUGAUGCAACCAUCUCGUGUGUCCAAGUAAGCAUCUAAUCUCGUAACACAUUCUAUUUCUUCGACCGUGAGGCUGAAUAAUGACACGAUUGAGAAAACCUUAAAAUAAUGUCGCAAAUACUACAGGUUAUCUAAAGAAAAUGGGAGGUCUGUAAGAUCCAAAUCAGUGUAUGGGUCUACAUCAAAGCCGAGAACACUGGCUUCUUGGAUGUGUUGGAAUCUAGCCUUCAUUCCCAAAUAAGACCAUUUUAGGGUGAUUUGUUCGGUACUAGGACCCGUUAAGGCUAAAUCAAUGAACUCUUGACAUGCUAUUGGGAAACCGUAUAGGUCGUUGGCCGAAUAUUUAUUGUGAAAUUCCAAAAUGUAUUCUAGAGCCUCGUAAAAAAUGGUAGGUGUCGAUUCCCCUUGACUUUUAUCAAUGGUACAUGCAGCAGCAAUGGAAAGAGUUUGCUUUCGGCCUCUUUUCUGAAAUACUCGAUGUGAGCUUUCAUUUCUCCAGGCCAAAGAAGAAGUUUGAUUCUUUUCUCAGAUUCUUCAAUCUCAGUUUCAAAGUCACGACCAAUUACCUUCUUCCCUUGACACAACAUGUUCGAAAUAGUUUGUUCGUCAUCUUCCUUUUUGUUGUUUCUUUAGGCUGCCAUUUUGUGACUGACACUUCCUAAGCAGCUCUUUGAUGGGCCAUGGAGUUCAUUCUUUGUCGACGACAUUUUUGGGACUUGGAUAGAAUAGUAUAUGUGUCGGUAGGGAAUUGUAACUAUACAAAUGGUGGUUCUAUAGCUCGGGUGGUUUGAAAGUUCGCUGGGUUGUGGAUGAACUUGAACUUCCAAAGGUAUGUACAUAGUAAUCCUCAUCAUAACAUGGCCCGUUGAAGUCAAGUCGUCGUCUUACUGAAGGUUGUUUGUAAUUCUGUUGUUAAGGGUCGAGUCUAUCGAAAACCUUUUGCUGGCGUUAACCCGAACCGAGCAAUGAUUGAGACUUCGCCGAAAUUGUAAGUGCGGGUUGUGGCGGUUCGGCCAAAGGUUUCUGUAGUUUUGGCUCAACUAUAAUGACUUGGAAUUGGCAUUUACUGCACAUGAUCAUUAGACUUUCAGAUUAAUAUUAAUUUGAACUAGAGUCAGACAUUGGCUCGAUAUAAACUAGAUUGGAGAAGAAACUAGACGGUUCAUUUUGGGAUGAGAAAUGGAUCUUCAAUCGUGGUAGAGAAUUCUGUUUUGGGAUGUGGUAUGUUGGAAUGAACUCAUCUUUUUCUUUUUUCUUAUCCUUUAGAAGAUAGGCAUCUACCAUGUUUAUCGAUGCCAAAUGGAAAAGAUCAACGUCAACUAGCAUUUGUGUCUUGUCUGGGAACUUCAACUUGCCAUUAUCGAUCCAGCUUUGGAUGGCAUCACAAAAUAUGACACAGUUAUUUCUUGUGUGCUUGUUCGAAUUGUGGUAUUUGCAGUAUGUUUUCCCCUUUAUGUCUUUGGCUUAGGAAUUUUGUGCCCUGGCUGAAGCUUGAUAAUAUCUGAUACAAUGUUCAAUUUAUCCGAUCAAUUGAACACGACUCAUCUGGGUGUUUCAGACUUUGUUGCGGAAAUAAAGAAUGAAGUAUAUCGAUCCGAUUAAAAUCAUUUUUAUGUUGAAUGUAUCUUGCUUUAUUAUUUGAACUUCUCGUUUAACGCUUGUAUUUCAAUUCAAUAAAAAGUGGCAUUGCAAUUUCCUUUUUAUUAUGAAUAAUUGUUUUUAACUCUGAUUCUCUUACUCAGAAAGCACGGAUAAAAACUAUGGUUGUUCUCAAAACAAAAGCAAUGGCGGAGAUAUUUGUCUUGGAGACAACGCAACCACACAUACAAUACUUCGAUAUCAAAAAUAUUUCUCAAACUUGAUGCUUACAAAAGUAAAGGUAACAACAAUAUCAAGCUAAUCAGAUGUAAUUAAAGGCUCAGGAAAAACUCAGGUCAUGUUACCAAAUAGAACAAUAUUGUCCAUACAAAAUGCAUUGUACGCUACUUGAUCUACAAGAAAUUUGUUGAGUUUUAAAGAUAUACGUUUGAAUGGAUACCACAUUGAACAAAAAGUGCAUAAAAUGUGGAAUAUCUAUGUAGUACCUCCAAUGAUACCCAGAAGCGUACAUUGGAGAAGUUGCAUGGUUUAUCAAGUAAAUUGUAUUAUACAUGCAUUAAGACAAUUGAAGCACAUAUUGUCAUGAACCAGAAGUUCAUUGAUCCAAAAAAUUACAUACUUUGGCAUGACAAUCUGGGUCACCUAGGAUCCACCAUGAUGCGUAGGAUCAUUAUCAACUCUAAUGGACAUCUAUUAUUGAGUAGACAUAUUACUAUAGCAAAUGAUAACCUUCACAAGGCUUGUCCUCAAGGAAAGUUGGUAAUUAAACCAUCACAAUCAACUAUUGAUGUUGAAUCCCCAUCAUUUUUGCAAAGAAUUCAAGGGGAUAUUUCUGGGCCUAUUUAACCACCUUGUGGACUAUUUCGAUAUUUUAUGGUUUUGGUUGAUGCAUCUACCCUAUGAUCACAUAUUUGCCUCUUGUCUACUUGAAAUGUAGCUUUUGUGAGACUUCUUACUCAGAUAAUUAAAUUAUGAGCACAGUUUCCAAAUCACCCUAUUAAGUCAAUUCGACUUGAUAACGUUGGUGAAUUUAUGUCUCAAACUUUUGAUGAUUAUUGCAUGACAAUAGACAUUAAUGUUGAACUGUUCCUCUUAUCUAUGCUCAAAAUGGUUUAGUAGAAGCAUUUAUGAAGUUGCUUCAAUUAUUAGCUCGUGCUCUACUCAUGAAAACAAAAUUGCCAAUUUUCUGCAUGGGAACAUGCCAUUUUACAUGCUGCAUCAUUAAUUCAACUGAGACUUGUUGCCAACCAUCAAUACUCUUCAGUACAACUUGUGUUUGGGCAUCAACCAAACAUUUCACAUUUACAAAAAUGGGACCUUAGUGAAGACUGGGAAUUUAUGUGAGUUUGAUUCAUCAUCGAUCAUUAGAUAUUGGGAACCCUUGACAUGUUAUAUUUUUUACCGCUCGUUUUACGGAUUGUCACUUUUAUGAGACAAUUUUCCCGCCAUUAAGAGGAAAAAAAGGCCAUUCCAGAAGAAUGGCGAGAAUUAACAUGGGAUAUACCCACCUUGGAUGAGGUAACCCCUUCGGUCGAUAAAAGUCUCCCUAAAAAUCCAAAACAAUCAGCGAUCAUCUUGGAAGAGGUAUGAUUAUGUUGUUGGUAAAUCCCUUUUCUUAUUAAAAAAUAUUAACAGCUUUUAUUUCAGGAUGACGAUAACGACGAGACUCUGCUGGCGUGUCGCUUUCGACUAACCAAACCUCCUUUCAUUGAGCCUCCCCCUGUGGUUGAGGUGACUGACCAGGUCGAUCUUACUGCAGCCGAUUGUGGAAAAAUACCUCAAAUUGAGCUUGAAGCGACGGCAUAAACACCAAUUCACCCAUAGGAUCAAGACCUCGGCAUUCCCCCUCAAGAGGCGACUUCGGCUUUUUAAGACUCAAUUACUUUCUCCUUUUAACUUUACUAUAACAAGUCUGAACAUAAAAAAUAGUACAUGUUAGGUGCCCAAUUAUUCAUUUCAUCGAAAAUUUUAUGCGCCGAAGGGCAUUAUCUAUAUUUCCUGGCCACCUCAGUGGCCGUCGAAUAUAGAUAACCUUCAUCGGCCGUGUGAAUUGAGAAGCAAUCUAAAACACUGGGCUCAGCCAUUAAGCUCUCUAGGUUCGAGCAAUAAACCAGGAGACAUGGCCGAAGUCUCAUCUCGACAGGUCUAAAAACAAAUUCUUUCUACUAUAUUCUUUUACGUUUUCCUUUUUCCUAAAUUCUUUUCAUGUACAGCCCUCAUGGGAAGUCAAGUUCGAUGCUCUUCUUUUGAAUACCUCGAGAAUGGCCAGCCCUUCGGUAGCUACAACCAGGUUCUCCGUACCGACGGCCGAAUCAAAUGCUCUUGUUAGGCUGCAAAAUCUCUUGUCUCUAUCGGCUUCACAAGCUCUUGAACGCCAGGGUCUUGAUUCCAUGGGUGCAUGCCUGAACAAUCUUGCAAUUGACAGUCAAUUGAGCACUGAAGCCAUCACUCGAGUGUCUUCUACCUUGGAACGAACCCGUGAAUAUUUCGGUAUUUUCGAGAAAGCUCUUCGGGCCAAAGAUGACUUGAAAGCUGUGACGGCCGUUCGAGAAGCUCUUCGUCCAAAGGUUAAAGUUUUGAAGGCGAAGAAAGAAAGGUUGGCCGACCUCGACCGUGAAAUUGCCGAACUCUAAAAUUGAAGGUCGGCAGUUGCUUCCGAGCUUGCAAAGGAUUUUAAGUUGAGUGGCAAAUCUUGCUUAACUGAAUAUGCGACUAGCGUGAAGCGGGUCGAACAACUGAGGAUGAAUAAGAGGAAUUGGCAAGCUGAGGUCACCAUGGGCAAGCUGAGGUGGUUGGAGUUGAAGGCCGUUCUUGAAUCUCUCCUUCCUUCAUCACCUUAGAAUUAUUUAUUUGUAAACUGAUCGACCAACUUUAUUUGUACAUUCUUUUGCAAAUUUAAUGAAAUGAACUUUUAUUCUCACAUUUCCCAUGUGACUGGAUAGUAUUUCUUUAAAAACUUCCCAUUGAUUGGCAACUUGUGAAUUACACCAGUUUGAUCCUUAAGACGGUAUGCCCCCUUGCCGAGAACCUUAUGAAUAACGAAUGGCCCUUCACAAUUCAGCGACAACUUGCUGAACCUGGGGUUUUUAAUUCCUAUGGGUAGUACAAUUUGCCAAACCAACUCUCCUUCGUCGAACGUUUUUUUUCUGACCCAUUGAUUAUAAGCUAGUUUGCCGAUCUUCUUUUGUGCCACUAAUAAGUUAUAAGCAUCAAGCCGAACUUCUUCUAAAUCUUCUAACUCUUGUCUCAUGGCCCGACUGUACUCGGCACUGAACAAACUACUUUGUUCGAUUACUCGCAACGAGUUUAUACUUAGCUCAACUGGCAACAUUGCGUCGUGUCCAUAUGUCAACGCGUAUGGAGUCGUUGCAGUGGCUGACCGAAGAGAAGUUCGAUAGGCCCAUAACGCUUCGUUUAGCUUUAUAUGCCAUAUUCCAGGCCUUUCUCUCACCAUUUUUUCGAGAAUACCAAUCAAAACUUUCUUACUUUCUUCGGCCUACCCCAUUUUCAUGCGAGUAAUAUGGCGUAGACUGCUCAAGUCAAAUUUUCAAAUUCGUCGUAUACUCUUUAAACAUGUCAGACGUGAAGAUCAUGCCAUUAUCUGUUAUGAUUGUUUUCGGUACACUGAAUCUAGUCACGAUGUUUUCUUUUAAAAAAUUACAAACUUCUUUAUACAUUAAUUCGGCAUAUGACUUCGCUUCAACCUAUUUGGUGAAGUAGUCUGUCACGACAAGUAUCUAUGCAUGCUUUGUGGACCCAGAAGACAGCGUAAUUUUGCUAAUUACAUCCAUGGCCCAUCCUCUGAACGGUCAUGGUUUAGUGACCGAAUGUAGUGACUCGGCUGAGACCCUCUGUAUAGGAACAUGAAUUUGGCACUGUACACAUCCUCGUGCAAACUCAAUGUAAUCCUUUAGUAUACUUGGCCAGAAAUAGCCGUGUCAACAAAGCAACCAUCGUAUUUUCAGCCGAACUGAUGAACCCUGCAAAUUCCUUCAUAAACUUCUGCGAUUGCUAAGGCAGCCUCUUAUGGUGUAAGGCAUAACAGUAAUAAAUCGUCCUCACCUUUUCAGUAUAAUUCAUUUUGGUAUAUGAUAGGAGUAUAUUUAUGCGACUUAGUUGGCUUGUUCUUGUGCAUUUAUGUCGUGUUUCCUUAGUUAUUUUAAUGUUUAAAGUCAUUUUCGUGUGUUUUCAGACUCUAAGUACAAAGUAUGCAAGAAGAUGCAUUUUGGAGGCCUUUGGAGCAUGUUUCGGGCUUGGAAUGGAUAGCAAAUGCAUGGGCCAAGUGGAUGGACGAAUUUGAGAACUAAAGAGGCCAAGAAUGUGAAGAAUUAUGGUCCAAAAGAUAAAGAAAACAGCCCAAAAAUCUGUCACCCCAACUUGCAUUCCUUGCCAUGCAAACCACAUAGAAUUCCCUUUGGAUUCCAUGCCAUGCUUGAUCACUCUUGUCCCCUACAUAAUUUCUAAUUUCAUGCUUCAAUUCAUUUAAUUAUUACACUCAAUUGCUUGAUACCUCUUGUUCCCUUCACUCAUUAGAUUUUAGACAACAUUUACAUCCAUUACAUGCACCAAUUGAUGCUCCAUCAUUCACAUUUGGAAUCCCAUGCCUUGUGUACCACAUGUUGCUGCACCUUUGACCCAUUUAUUGACACAUUUUCACCUCCCUUUCCAUCUCUAUGCAAUGUACACAAUCAUUCAUGCCCCCUAGCUACAAGACCACUCCAUUUUACCCUUCACACUUUGCAUCAUCACUUCAUUUUCACCCUUGGACCAUUGCACACCACACACACAAAUUGCCAUGCAUUUCAUCCUUAACCUAACCUGAUUUUCUAAGGUUUUUGGGGCCUAUAAAUACAUGUUUACACCCCUUGGCCAAAGGAUAAUUCCCCAUAUUCAUCAUUUUAUCACAGAAAUUCGUCCAUACACACCCUAGGAAGCAAAACACCCCAAAAACACCAUUCUAGUGCCUAGAAAACAUAACAGCCACUCCACCUUCUUCCACCCUCUUUGCCUAGUUCUCUACCACUCCCCAACCAUCAAACACUCUUCCACUCUCACCCUAAACCCUUCCACAAAAUUCCCCAUCCAUUCUACACCAUAAAUCCACCCAAAAAUCUGUCCACAAGCUUCAUGCCGCAAGCAAGGGAAAGGAGGAAUCUUGGAUGCACUUGCUACCAAGUUGGAGCAUUUUAGGUGUUUUCUUUCCUUUGAUUUUAAUGUCUAAUUUUAUGUAUCUUUGCUUUGUGAGUAUGAGGAACUAAACCCCUCUUAGUUAGGGGGUGAUUCGAAACCAUGUACAUGCUUGCAAUAUGAUUUGAUUACAUUCAGUUGUUAUUUCAUAAGUUGCGGAUUCAAUUCGUUCAUCUACUUGAUUGAUAACUUAUUUGUGUAUGUUCAUUGAGAGUGCACGCUUAGUUUUCAUGCAUGAAUAUGAUGCUAGAUUAUAAGGGAGUUUCACCUAAUAGUUACAAUCUUAUAAUCACAAGUAGUGAAGGUCGCUUGAAAACGAUCGCGUUGAAUGAAUUCUUGGCACACUAGUUUCAUGCUCAUCAUAGUAACGAAUGCCUCGUCAACACUUAUAGUUCUCAUUGUGCUUCAUGAUUCUUGAUUGUAUCUUUAUUGUGCUCAUCACGUAAGGAACCUUUGAGGAAUGCUUUGAAUUGUUGUAUGCGCUUUUCCAUCCAAUUCAUUAACUUAAGGAGAACUUGAAGGUUAAUUUAAGCGUAUCUAAUUAACUUGGGGUGUUGAGUUUUCAUAAUUUAUUGAAAGAACAACUGAAAAUCAUUUUGUUUGCAAGUGUGUCAUGUGUGGAGAAGAACCUCCUAACUAGCCUUUUAUCCAUCCUUUUCAUCCAAAAACGUUUUACAAUCUGUUUUGUUUUAAAGUUUCUGUUUUGUUUUCAAUUUUCGUCCAAAACAAAUCCCCCUUUAUUUUGAAGUCUUAGAUUAGUUAGAAAGUGUUUUGAUUUGUGUUUCUAAGUGUUUUGAUUCAAGUUUUCAUCCAACUUCGUCCAAGUUCUUGUUAGGUUCUCAAAACUGCCCAGAAAGUGGUUUUUAGGCAGUUUUGAGUCAUUAGGUUGCUGUUUUGAGUUUUAUGUUUGUUUAAGUAUUUUAAAGUAUAGUUUUGCAUUCUUUGAGUCUAGUUUAGUGUUUUAAAUUUUGUUUUUAUGUUUUUAAGUCAGUUUUCAAGUGUUUAGCAAUCCCUCCUAAUCCCCGGCCUAGAACGAUCCCUACUUACAUACUUUACUACAUUUGAUAAAAAGAGGGUUUAAUUUUGUGUGUUAACUUAUUUUACGCAUCAAAUUUUGGCGCCGUUGCCGGGGAUUAGCAAAGUUGCUAAUCCCUUGUCUUGAGUCUUGUUUAAAUUGUUUAGUUUUUUUUAUUUAUUUUUAUUUUUAUUUUUAUUUUUUUUUAUUUUUUUUAUUUUAUUUUAUUUUUUAUUUUAUUUAUUUUAUUUUUUAUAAUUACCCUGUUUUGUUUACUUAUGAUAUUUGAUUUAGUUUUAUUUCUUUGAUAUCAGGUACUAAAAGAAGUAAGACAUGGCAAUUGCUAAUCUUCAAGCUCAAAUGGCAAUUCUUACUUCUCAAUUGUCACAGUACAUCGAAAGGACCACAAUACAAAGCACCCCUACAUUCGAUGUGUCCUAUACGCAAGGAUAUCAAGCAGAUCAACAUCCACAAAGGAGUUGGGAGAGUUAUCAUGAUCAUAAUCAAUCAAUGAACAACUUGUUUUCCAACACGUAUAAUUCAGAUUGGAGGGAUCAUUCAAACACUAUGUGGUGGGAACCUCAACCAGUUCAACACGAAGGAUAUUGGCAGCCAUAUAAUGAGUUCUAUUCAAGCCCUGCUCAGCCACCACAACCUCAUACACAAUAUACCCAACCAAACUCAGGUUCGUCAAUAGAUUGUGCUCAAAUUCUUGAUGUACUAACUUCUUUGACGCAGGAAUCACAAAAUCAAGCCCAAGUGAUGAGCGAAUUGAAGAAUCAAAUGGGAGAGAUCGUGGAAUUCAUGGGGCAAAUGCAAGAACAAAGUGAAGUAACUGACUCAACUGUUGAAAUUAUUGAAGCUAUCAACUUGGAAAGUGGCAUAGAGGUUGGAGAUGAACCCAAGAUGUCCAAACCAAGCCAAAACAUGGAUGAACAGUUACUGCUCGAAGAAGAGGAGGAUAACAAGGCCACGGCAAAGGAAGAACCACCAUUGCUGCAGCCUACCCUAGCCCCAACACCCUUGCCGCAGCCCCAUAUGCCCUCUAUGCAGUCCACUACAACCAAGGUAAGCCCAAAUUCAAUUCGUCCUGACCCCGUUCCACUAAAUGUCUUUAUUCCUUGCAGGAUCAUGCAAUCCAAGGAAGAAGAGGGUGAGAAAGGCAUCUUUGAAACCUUUCCAAAGAAUCAAGAGAAAGAAGUGGAUGGGGAAUGUCUAGAAUGCAUCAAAGAGGAUGUGCUUGAGACAACCAUUCCUAAAGAAGUUGAAUUUUAUGACAUGGGACAAGUCCCAACCAUCACAUUCAAUCUGGCCAAGUCCAAUAUCCCUGAAACUUUCAAAAAUGUGGUGUUUGUCAUUGAGUUUCUUGUCGGACAAAGCAAGUAAGCCAUCUUCUCUCCAAUUUCGAUUUUAGUAUAUACUAACUUGUUGAUUUUGAUGAUUCAGGCACCUACACUAGAAUUUAAGCCAUUGCCGGAUCACGUCAAGUAUCACCGUCCAUUCAAGGAUCAAUUCCAUGCUAUGGGCCCUAUCCAAGUUUAGAAGGAAGUAUCGUCCGGCUGCAAGACGUUAAAGAAAACGCUUCUUGGGAGGCAACCCAUGUAUUCAAAAAAAGGAAGAUCUAUGAAUCGCUCUACAAUCAGUUUUGCGUUUCUAAAAACCUUCACUUUUCUGCAUUUUUAUUUUGCCAUGAUUGUCAUUUUUUUAUUUUUGUUUAUUUAAUUAUUUUUGGGUGUGGGUUUAUUUUUGAAACAUUGAUAGAUAUGCAAGAUAUUCUUACAUUCUUUUUCAUGAAAAAAAAAAGGGAACAUUAAGCAAGAAAUUACAAAGAGGGAGCCUUCACAAAGGCUGAUUGGGAGAGGUCGCAGUAGUCGGCGGAGUUGCAGUAGUCGGCGGAGUCUCAGCAGUCGGUGGGGCCACGGAAGGAGGAGGUAUCGGAGGUUGAUCAGUUGGAGCUUCACUACGCGGUGCCGCCCCAGAAGACGAAGGCAGAUGCUGUUGGAACAAACCCACAAACCUCCGGUGAUCAAGUAAAAUCUGACCAUCAUUUUCCUGCAGCUGGUCAAUUUUCCUCUUCAUGUUUGUGGCAUAAUUGUGUGCAAGCUUGUGCAAUUGUUUAUUUUCAUGCUUGAGUCCUCUAAUCUCCUCUUUGAGACUCUGUAUUUCAGCCACCAAAGAUUCAACGUGACGGGUUCGAGCAAAUAGGCGUUGGGCCAUGUUGGACACAGAACCCGCACACUGCACGCUAAGAGCCAGAGACUCCUUAACCGCCAAUUCAUCAGACCGUCUAGCGAGUAGUCUAUUAUCUCUGGGGGUGACAAGGUUUCGGGCCACCACCGCAGCAGUCAUGUCAUUUUUCAUCACCGAAUCCCCAACGGUGAGAGGACCAGUAGGGGAUAUGAGGGACGGGCGCCAUAUGUUGUCUGGAGAAGGAGGGGCUGCUCCUUCACUAAGGUUCAAGUCAAAACGACGGUCGGAAGGGCCAGACAUUUUUUAGAGGUGUUAAAGAAAGAGGAGAUCGGACAAGUCAAGAUCGUAGAAGUGCAAAACGGGAGUUUUUACAGGCAGAAAUUCAAGAGUGCUUUGAACGUCCUGCAUACCUCUAUAAAAAUCAGCAUGCGAUGGGAUUUCAGAGAUCGAAGAGGUGAGCUCAGAAAUCGAAGAAGCCAUUCGGAGAUCGAAGAGGCGCCAGCUUUCUCAAAAGUUGGGCUUGCUCACAAACCACCAAUUCCAGAUACCGAAGAGUGUCAACUGUCUCAGCCUCUUCAGCAUCCAUCACACGCAACUCAGCUUUGCGAAAAUCACGGGCAGUCUGUCGAAGCACCGAUUCCAACCAUCUGUCUCUCUCAGCCUCGUCAGCACUUGUCACAUGCAAUCUCAGCCUCGUCAGCAUUUGUCACAUGCAAUCUCUGCCCUCAACGAAGCUCAGAACUCGAAGCGUAAAUUCCGGAUAUUAAAGAGACCUCUGCUUUAUCGAGACGUGUCAGCAUCUGUCAAUUUGCACAUCUGCGUUGCGUAAAUCACGCGCAAUCUGUCGAAAUUUUUUUGGAGAAGCGGAAUGCAUGUGGAAACUACUGUUAAAUUAUCCCAGGCUUGCCGACACGAGUAAUGGAACAAUGCCUUCCCAGCCAUUAAGAAAAUUCUAUAAAUGUUAAACUUCAAAGUGAAGCAGUCUCACCCAACUUUCAGCCUCACUUAACCCUUCAUCCUCUCUAAAAUGGCUUUCCAACAAACCCUCUCGAGUCACACUGUAUUCCUCAUUCCCUGGGAUACCCCUGCAAACAACCCAUCCAGAGCAAAAGUAUUUCAUAUCAUAAAGGUUGAAAGCAAGAGUAUCUCAUAUCAUGCAUUCUCCAUGUCCUUUUCCUUGUCUUUGUUCUAACCUGCAGGACAUGGAGAAAUUGCUCUCGAGUACUCGUCUUCCACUGCUGAUGUACUUCCAAAGAAGCUGCCACAUCUACCUGAAGAACAGAUAAGGCAAGCGAAAAUGAUACCAGCAGCAUGUGGAGACAACGUACAGAAGAAACAAGCAGAGAAGAAUGCAGCUCGUACAAUCAACCCAGCACAAGGAGUCCGAGCUGAAGAACUAGAGAAGCUGCCACAUCUGCUUGGAGAACAAAUAAGGAAUUGCAACAUCGCCAAAGAGAAAAGCUUCGCCGUACAAUUCCAAUCCAGUUCAAGAUCAAAGCUGUGGAAAGUCAACAAGAUCAACUAUCUCCAAAACCAGAUUUGCGUUCUUAAACUCUACUCUGUCUGGUUUUUACUUUGCCAUAUUUGUCAUGUUUAUUUGUCGUUUAUUAUUUGCUUGUUUUUGGUGUGAGUAUAUGCUUGAAACAUUGAGGACAAUGCUUGAUUUAAGUGUGGGGGGGGGUAACUAGUGUUUUGCAUAAAAUUCGUAGAAAAUUAUCACCCAUUACUUCUAGUGUUGUUCCUUACUGUUUUAAGUAUUUUUUUAAGCUGUUUUGGAGUAUUUCAGUGUGUUUUGACAUAAAAAUCCGAAAAUUCAUAAAAAUUUGAAAAAUUGUUUUUGAAAAUCCCAAAAAGAGUUGUUUUUGUGUGGUAACUAGUGUUUUGCAUAAAAUUCGUAGAAAAUUAUCACCCAUUACUUCUAGUGUUGUUCCUUACUGUUUUAAGUUUUUUUUUUUUUUAAGCUGUUUUGGAGUAUUUCAGUGUGUUUUGACAUAAAAAUCCGAAAAUUCAUAAAAAUUUGAAAAAUUGUUUUUGAAAAUCCCAAAAAGAGUUGUUUUUGUGUGCUUAUUUGUGUCUUAGGGUACCUUCCAACACAAUGAUGAGGAUUCAGUUUGUAAUUGCAUGACUGUUAAAGAGAGUUAUAAACAUGGAUGAAAGUUUGAUUUACUCUUUAUUUAUGCGUGAUUGUGGUUAUAACUUAUGAAAUCACAUGUAAUCAUAAAAGAAAAAAAUUAGUUUUUUUGUAACAUGCUUGAAGGAAAGAACUCAAACUAACGGUACAACCUUGUGAGACUUGAGCCUAAAUGUUUAUUUGGAGAGUUAAAAUCUGUGCAUUAUUGUUUUCUAAAGUCGUUGCAUGAUCUCAUUAUUCUUUGCUUGGUUAUUACUUAGAAGGCGUUUCAUCAUUUAGUUCCAAAUGCUAGAACUCAUGCCUAUUUCAUUCAAAGCAUGCUAUUGAUUUGCAUAACACAUAUUCAAGAUGAAGUUGUGUAGUUACCACCACCAAAGCCAAACUGCCAUGUAUCCCAUAUCGUUAUAUGUUUAAGUUAACCCCAUUGAGCCUUGAUAGCCUACAUUCUUUGUUAAACCACAUUAUCCUUACCUAUCCUAGUUUAGGAACCCUUGUUCUUGAAGCAUAGUGAAGUAUGAGUCAAAUUGAAUUCCUUUUGAUUAAUGUAUGGCAGAAAACAAGUGUGGGGGAAGUGAUUCUUGUGUGUGUGUGUAUGCCAAAAUCAUUCAUAAGGCACGAGUAGAAAAGAAAGAUUCGUGAAAAAUAGAAUGAAAAGAAGAAGAGCUGUGAAAAGAAAAGGAGUUGAAAAAUAUGUGAAAAAGAGUUUUAAAGUGUUGCUUGUUGAAGAAAGGGUCCAAAACAUUGAAUUCGGCCCUAAAUAUUGCUUGAGUCUUCCCUUCGUGUUUAAAAGUUGAUUACUGCAAUCUAAGUGAAUUCUAAGUUUCCAUUUCAUUACUUUUCUUGCUAUUGCUUUAAGAACGUUUGUUAUCCCUAUCCUUCAUUUGUUAGCCAACACCCCAAGCCCGUUACAACCUUUGACUUCAAUCUUGAGUGUUAUGUGUUUCAAUUUGUGGAGUUUGAAUUUGGUAUGAGCAUAUGGUGUCACUGGUUCUCGCGUCUAAGUAAUAGCAUUCCAUUCAUGAGAUCAUAUCUAAACAUGCUUAUUAACUCCAGAAAUUGCUUUCUUUGUGAUACAUAUAUGUGAGCAUUCGUUUUCAUAUCUACAUCAAUCUUCUCACAUAUAACGAGUAUAGGGUGUGUAGUUGGAAAAUCUGAGUGAAAAUUGAAUGCAUAUCUUGUAAGGAAUUGAGCGAAUUCUCUAAGGCAUGUUACUACAUCAAAAACAUUGUUUUAAUUGAUUAAUUGUGAACUAGUAAGUGGUGACUAUGAUUAAGUAUGUGCUUAAGUGUAAAGAUGACUCAAAUCUGUGGGGAUAAUGAUUUUUAACAUGUCAUGUGCAUUGGAAAUCCCUGAGGCAAAUGUUGGAAGGUUUAGGUUGUGUUUUAUUUGUUUUGUUUCAUUUUAUUUCUUUGUUUUGCUCGAGGACUAGCAAAAGCUAAGUGUGGGGGAAUUUGAUAGGAGUAUAUUUAUGCGACUUAGUUGGCUUGUUCUUGUGCAUUUAUGUCGUGUUUCCUUAGUUAUUUUAAUGUUUAAAGUCAUUUUCGUGUGUUUUCAGACUCUAAGUACAAAGUAUGCAAGAAGAUGCAUUUUGGAGGCCUUUGGAGCAUGUUUCGGGCUUGGAAUGGAUAGCAAAUGCAUGGGCCAAGUGGAUGGACGAAUUUGAGAACUAAAGAGGCCAAGAAUGUGAAGAAUUAUGGUCCAAAAGAUAAAGAAAACAGCCCAAAAAUCUGUCACCCCAACUUGCAUUCCUUGCCAUGCAAACCACAUAGAAUUCCCUUUGGAUUCCAUGCCAUGCUUGAUCACUCUUGUCCCCUACAUAAUUUCUAAUUUCAUGCUUCAAUUCAUUUAAUUAUUACACUCAAUUGCUUGAUACCUCUUGUUCCCUUCACUCAUUAGAUUUUAGACAACAUUUACAUCCAUUACAUGCACCAAUUGAUGCUCCAUCAUUCACAUUUGGAAUCCCAUGCCUUGUGUACCACAUGUUGCUGCACCUUUGACCCAUUUAUUGACACAUUUUCACCUCCCUUUCCAUCUCUAUGCAAUGUACACAAUCAUUCAUGCCCCUAGCUACAAGACCACUCCAUUUUACCCUUCACACUUUGCAUCAUCACUUCAUUUUCACCCUUGGACCAUUGCACACCACACACACAAAUUGCCAUGCAUUUCAUCCUUAACCUAACCUGAUUUUCUAAGGUUUUUGGGGCCUAUAAAUACAUGUUUACACCCCUUGGCCAAAGGAUAAUUCCCCCAUAUUCAUCAUUUUAUCACAGAGAAAUUCGUCCAUACACACCCUAGGAAGCAAAACACCCCAAAAAAAACACCAUUCUAGUGCCUAGAAAACAUAACAGCCACUCCACCUUCUUCCACCCUCUUUGCCUAGUUCUCUACCACUCCCCAACCAUCAAACACUCUUCCACUCUCACCCUAAACCCUUCCACAAAAUUCCCCAUCCAUUCUACACCAUAAAUCCACCCAAAAAUCUGUCCACAAGCUUCAUGCCGCAAGCAAGGGAAAGGAGGAAUCUUGGAUGCACUUGCUACCAAGUUGGAGCAUUUUAGGUGUUUUCUUUCCUUUGAUUUUAAUGUCUAAUUUUAUUUAUCUUUGCUUUGUGAGUAUGAGGAACUAAACCCCUCUUAGUUAGGGGGUGAUUCGAAACCAUGUACAUGCUUGCAAUAUGAUUUGAUUACAUUCAGUUGUUAUUUCAUAAGUUGCGGAUUCAAUUCGUUCAUCUACUUGAUUGAUAACUUAUUUGUGUAUGUUCAUUGAGAGUGCACGCUUAGUUUUCAUGCAUGAAUAUGAUGCUAGAUUAUAAGGGAGUUUCACCUAAUAGUUACAAUCUUAUAAUCACAAGUAGUGAAGGUCGCUUGAAAACGAUCGCGUUGAAUGAAUUCUUGGCACUAGUUUCAUGCUCAUCAUAGUAACGAAUGCCUCGUCAACACUUAUAGUUCUCAUUGUGCUUCAUGAUUCUUGAUUGUAUCUUUAUUGUGCUCAUCACGUAAGGAACCUUUGAGGAAUGCUUUGAAUUGUUGUAUGCGCUUUUCCAUCCAAUUCAUUAACUUAAGGAGAACUUGAAGGUUAAUUUAAGCGUAUCUAAUUAACUUGGGGUGUUGAGUUUCAUAAUUUAUUGAAAGAACAACUGAAAAUCAUUUUGUUUGCAAGUGUGUCAUGUGUGGAGAAGAACCUCCUAACUAGCCUUUUAUCCAUCCUUUUCAUCCAAAAACGUUUUACAAUCUGUUUUGUUUUAAAGUUUCUGUUUUGUUUUCAAUUUUCGUCCAAAACAAGUCCCCCUUUAUUUUGAAGUCUUAGAUUAGUUAGAAAGUGUUUUGAUUUGUGUUUCUAAGUGUUUUGAUUCAAGUUUUCAUCCAACUUCGUCCAAGUUCUUGUUAGGUUCUCAAAACUGCCCAGAAAGUGGUUUUUAGGCAGUUUUGAGUCAUUAGGUUGCUGUUUUGAGUUUUAUGUUUGUUUAAGUAUUUUAAAGUAUAGUUUUGCAUUCUUUGAGUCUAGUUUAGUGUUUUAAAUUUUGUUUUUAUGUUUUUAAGUCAGUUUUCAAGUGUUUAGCAAUCCCUCCUAAUCCCCGGCCUAGAACGAUCCCUACUUACAUACUUUACUACAUUUGAUAAAAAGAGGGUUUAAUUUUGUGUGUUAACUUAUUUUACGCAUCAGUAUAAUACGUAGUUUGUGGCAUGGACCUUUGUCCGUCGGUAGUGUUUUUCGCUGGGGUUAUCAAUAUAUCUCAUAAUCACCCUUCUUCAAUCGUCUGGUAAUGCCUCAACAACACAAACCUCAAUAGUGUCCUUCCGUUCUAACAACGAAGUUAAGGACAUGACCCGUGUGUGGAUCACGCAAUCUCGUUGGAAAACACCUUGAUUUGCGUAAAUGCCUCUUGGUGUUCUGCACGCCAUUCGAAGAUGUUAGAAUCCUUAAGUUUCAAAAGCGUGGAGAAGGCUUUCAUUUUCCCAGCCGAAUUAGCAAUAAAUCGACGAAGAAAGUUAAUCUUGCCAAGCAACGAUUGUAGUGUUUCUUAGUCAUUAGGGAUAGAGCAUUGAUGAUUGCGCGAGCCUUGUUGUCGUCAACCUUAAUACCACGAUGUUGUACGAGGAAUCCUAAAAAAUUAUCGAUUGACACGCAGAAAGCACAUUUAGCGGGAUUCAUCUUAAGAUUGUGCCGGCAUAUACGUAGGAAAGCCCGAUGGAGGUCAUCCAAAUUUGUUUGCCGACGUUCUGAUUUGAUUACAACAUCGUCGAUGUAGACUUCGACGAUGGCACCAAUCAAAUCAUGGAAAAUAGUGUUCAUGGCUCGUUGGUAUAUGGCACCAGCAUUCUUCAAGCCGAAUGGCAUGACGACUCAUUCUUACGUGCCGAGUGCCCCCGGGCAACAAAAAGUGAUUUUGUGAACAUCGGCUUCGGCGAUAAAACUCUGGUUGUAGCCAGCAUGGCCGUCCAUGAAGGACAACAUUUCAUGAUUGGUUGUGACGUCCAUUAACAAAUCUGAGAUUGGCAUCGGGUAUUCAUCUUUGGGAGUCGCCAGAUUCAAAUUAUGAAAAUCGAUAUAGAUGCGUAAGGUGCCAUUUUUCUUUAGUACCAGGACCAUAUUGGCCAGCCACUCAACAUAUCGAGCGGUCUGAAUAAACCCAGCUUUUAAAAGUUGAACUAGUUCGUCUUUUAUGCCGAGUUGUACUUCAGUUAAGAAUCAGCGAGGAGGCUGGCGGAAAGGCUUACAAACCAGGUUUGAUGCGUAAUUCAUGUUCACCGAGGGUCCGAUCAAGGCCCGGCAUCUCACGAUAACAUCAAGCAAAACAACCUUUAAACUCAUUGAGUAAUUUACAGAGUUUGAUUUUCAUGGAGUGGGGUAACAAUGCACUUAUAAAUAACGGUCGAGGGCCAUCGGUCGUUCCAACAUUUAUUUCUUCUAAUGGGUCUUUAACUUGGGGCCGACUGUCUUUGAGUUCGGCCGGUGCGGCCUAAACUUUAUCUAUCGAUAAUACUGUGCCGUUAUCUUCCUCGUCCAAAAAUUUGAUUAAGUUUUUGCCCGAAUGUGGAUGCUUGGAAAUAGCAUAUUAAUGAGCCAGCAGACGUUCCAUAGUGGAUGAAACCACGGCCCGGUGCCUUUCUCUUUUGGCAUCAGUCAUUAGUGUUAGUAAUUAAGUCGGCCAAGCCGAGUCUUGCCGAAUCCUGGUGUACAGUCUCGGGCCUACCUCGAUGGCUUUCUGGACUAAGAUCCGAGUCAACCGUCCAUCUUCAUUAAAACCCUGCAGGGUAAUGUAGCCAACAUGAUCGUUGUAAUAGCGGGCCUCAUGUUAGUUUCGAAUGGCUGAUUAUCGGUUGGGUGGACCACAACCAAUUUGCUGUCCCAAAAAAUGAGAACUUGGUAUAAAGAAGAGAAAAUGCAAUUCGUUUGAUGAAUCUAAUCCCGACCCAGCAAAGCAUUAUACUUGGUCUUGGAGUCGAUGAUAAAAAAUAUGGUCAUGUGAUUACGACCUACAAUGUUUACCUCUAAAGGGAGCACUCCUUUGGUUUGAGAUUUGUCACCGACGAAGCUGUUCAUGGUUAUUCCUAAUGGGAUGAGUUCGUCGUUGGAUCAUCUUAAUGUCUUCAUCACGGAUAUGGCCAUGAUAUUGACCGUCGCCCCACAAUCGAUGAAAAUUUUGGAGAUUGGAUAACCUUUAAUAUAGGCCAUGACAUACAACGACUUUAAAUGUUGAAGCUUAGCCGAGGAUGAGUGGGGAAACAAUAUGGCUAGGGCUGUUUUAAGUUUAUCGUCGUUAUUUGCUUGCCUAUCUUCGGCAAUGGUGACGAAAUCAACUUGUGUUGCUUCCUCGACCACCAUAUCACCAUCUAAGAAAUUUGAUUGGUGUAUAGUUGGCUGGAAUUCAGCAGGUAGAACAUGAACCAUGCUGAUUUCCAUGUUCUCAAGGACUGAAGGGCCCAUCAAAUCCUGGUCGUCAUCUUCCGGGUUAUCGAGGACUACAGCAUCAUGCAUAGAGCAUUCUCAGCCUGAUUAUCGUGUGCCUCAACGGGUACUUGCUCUUGUGCCAUGUAACCCGACCUUGCUUCUUCCUGAUUGUUGUUUUCGAGCCUGUUUGUCUCUAGUGUCUGACUUUGUCCUUGCAAUGCUUUACCGGCUCGUUCUUCAUAGGCAAUCCAAGUGUCCCUUGUGUCUAGGUAGGCGUCCAGACGUGCCACCCAAUCUUUUUCAUCGGCCAUAAGACCGAAGAAAGAUACGACCGAAAAGACUUCGAAGUGGCGUCGUAAAUAUUGGAAGUCUUCAAGAGAAAAAGAAAGCUCGGCCAUAUCAAUGUCCGUGUAUGGAUCGACCUCGAAGCCAAGACCCUAGCUUCUCGUAAAUGCUGGAACCUAGCCUUUAUUGCUGGGUCGGUGGUUUUUUGGAUAAUCUGUUCAGCAUCAGGGCAAGUUAGUGCCAGGUCAAGGGCUUCUUGACAUGCCUUGGGCAAGCUAUACAAGUCAUUGACAUAAUGUUCCUUAUGAAAUUCUCGCAUGUUGAUAGGAGCAUAUUUAUGCGACUUAGUUGGCUUGUUCUUGUGCAUUUAUGUCGUGUUUCCUUAGUUAUUUUAAUGUUUAAAGUCAUUUUCGUGUGUUUUCAGACUCUAAGUACAAAGUAUGCAAGAAGAUGCAUUUUGGAGGCCUUUGGAGCAUGUUUCGGGCUUGGAAUGGAUAGCAAAUGCAUGGGCCAAGUGGAUGGACGAAUUUGAGAACUAAAGAGGCCAAGAAUAUGAAGAAUUAUGGUCCAAAAGAUGAAGAAAAUAGCCCAAAAAUCUGUCACCCCAACUUGCAUUCCUUGCCAUGCAAACCACAUAGAAUUCCCUUUGGAUUCCAUGCCAUGCUUGAUCACUCUUGUCCCCUACAUAAUUUCUAAUUUCAUGCUUCAAUUCAUUUAAUUAUUACACUCAAUUGCUUGAUACCUCUUGUUCCCUUCACUUAUUAGAUUUUAGACAACAUUUACAUCCAUUACAUGCACCAAUUGAUGCUCCAUCAUUCACAUUUGGAAUCCCAUGCCUUGUGUACCACAUGUUGCUGCACCUUUGACCCAUUUAUUGACACAUUUUCACCUCCAUUUCCAUCUCUAUGCAAUGUACACAAUCAUUCAUGCUCCCUAGCUUCAAGACCACUCCAUUUUACCCUUCACACUUUGCAUCAUCACUUCAUUUUCACCCUUGGACCAUUGCACACCACACACACAAAUUACCAUGCAUUUCAUCCUUAACCUAACCUGAUUUUCUAAGGUUUUUGGGGCCUAUAAAUACAUGUUUACACCCCUUGGCCAAAGAACAAUCCCCCAUAUUCAUCAUUUUAUCACAGAAAUUCGUCCAUACACACCCUAGGAAGCAAAACACCCCAAAAACACCAUUCUAGUGCCUAGAAAACAUAACAGCCACUCCACCUUCUUCCACCCUUUUUGCCUAGUUCUCCACCACCUUCCAACCAUCAAACACUCUUCCACACUCACCCUAAACCCCUCCAUAUCAUUCCCCAUCCAUUCUACACCAUAAAUCCACCCAAAAAUCUGUCCACAAGCUUCAUGCCGCAACAAGGAGGAAGGGAGAUCCAUUGAUGCACUUGCUUUCCAAGUUGGAGCAUUUUAGGUGUUUUCUUUCCUUUGAUUUUAAUGUCUAAUUUUAUGUAUCUUUGUAUUACAAGAAUGAGGAACUAAACCCCCUUAGUUGGGGGGUGAUUCGAAACCAUGUACAUGCUUGCAAUAUGAUUUGAUUACAUUCAGUUGUUAUUUCAUAAGUUGCGGAUUCAAUUCGUUCAUCUACUUGAUUGAUAACUUAUUUGUGUAUGUUGAUUGAGAGUGCACGCUUAGUUUUCAUGCAUGAAUAUGAUGCUAGAUUAUGAGGGAGUUUCACCUAAUAGUUACAAUCUUAUAAUCACAAGUAGUGAAGGUCGCUUGAAAACGAUCGCGUUGAAUGAAUUCUUGGCACUAGUUUCAUGCUCAUCAUAGUAACGAAUGCCUCGUCAACACUUAUAGUUUCUCAUUGUGCUUCAUGAUUCUUGAUUGUAUCUUUAUUGUGCUCAUCACGUAAGGAACCUUUGAGGAAUGCUUUGAAUUGUUGUAUGCGCUUUUCCAUCCAAUUCAUUAACUUAAGGAGAACUUGAAGGUUAAUUUAAGCGUAUCUAAUUAACUUGGGGUGUUGAGUUUCAUAAUUUAUUGAAAGAACAACUGAAAAUCAUUUUGUUUGCAAAUGUGUCAUGUGUGGAGAAGAACCUCCUAACUAGCCUUUUAUCCAUCCUUUUCAUCCAAAAACGUUUUACAAUCUGUUUUGUUUUAAAGUUUCUGUUUUGUUUUCAAUUUUCGUCCAAAACAAAUCCCCCUUUAUUUUGAAGUCUUAGAUUAGUUAGAAAGUGUUUUGAUUUGUGUUUUCUAAGUGUUUUGAUUCAAGUUUUCAUCCAACUUCGUCCAAGUUCUUGUUAGGUUCUCAAAACUGCCCAGAAAGUGGUUUUUAGGCAGUUUUGAGUCAUUAGGUUGCUGUUUUGAGUUUUAUGUUUGUUUAAGUAUUUUAAAGUAUAGUUUUGCAUUCUUUGAGUCUAGUUUAGCGUUUUUAAAUUUUUGUUUUUAUGUUUUUAAGUCAGUUUUCAAGUGUUUAGCAAUCCCUCCUAAUCCCCGGCCUAGAACGAUCCCUACUUACAUACUUUACUACAAUUUGAUAAAAAGAGGGUUUAAUUUUGUGUGUUAACUUAUUUUACGCAUCAAAUUUUGGCGCCGUUGCCGGGGAUUAGCAACUUUGCUAAUCUCUUGGAUUGUUUUCUUUCGAAUUAUUGUAUUUUGUUUAAGUUUCUGUUUAAGUUGCUGAUUUGUUUUGUUUCUUUGUUUUUAGGUACUAGUUUAUGACCCGUAGCUCACAACCUGUUCGUGAGCAUAUCUCCGACUUUGACGGUGAUUUUGAGAGGACUUUGAGAAGGAAAAAGAAAUUGCAAGAGUCUAAUCCUCCUAGUCUCGAGCCUGAAUUAGAAGAGCAAGAAGUUGAGGUUGAAGAGAAGGCCACGACACAAGUGGGUGGAGAAGAGCAAGGUAUAGCCAUGGACAACCGUACGCUCAAGGAGCUUGCCGCCUCGGGUUUGGAUAAUGCCGCACCAUUGUGUAUCCAAUAUCCCAUGGCUGCUCAAGGUAAAACUGAAGAGUUCGAGUUAAAGUCAAGUUUGCUCCACCACAUUCCAAAGUUCCAUGGGCUGUCCAUGGAGGAUCCGAACAAACAUUUGAAGGAAUUUGAAAUGGUAUGCUCAAGUAUGACUCCAGUUACCGUUGACGGAAGUAUUUUUAAAGAUGAAGGCUUUUCCAUUCUCUUUAAUGGACAAAGCCAAGGAUUGGGUAUACGAGUUGGCUCCCGGUACAGUUACAUCUUGGGAGAGUAUGAAGAGGGCGUUUCUGGAGAAGUUUUUCCCAACUUCUCGCAUCAUUCUUCUUCGUAAAAAAAUAAGUGGAAUUCAGCAAAGCCAAGGUGAAUCUUUUCCAUCUUAUUAUGAACGAUUUAAAUCACUUGUUGCUUCUUGUCCACAGCAUCAGAUGAAGGAGGAGUUACUUCUUCAAUACUUUUACGAAGGUCUUUUACCACUUGAACGGCAAAUGUUGGAUGCUUCCGCGGGAGGAGCUCUAGUGGAUAAGACACCUAGGGAUGCCAAAACUCUCAUUGCGAAUCGAGCACUCAAUGCACAACAAUAUGAAGGUGUUGGGCAAAGAGACACCCCACGGCCACAUCAUGUCAAUGAGGUAAGUUCUAUUUCUGAGUUACAAUCCCAAAUGGCUAACCUUACGUCUAUGUUAUCGCAGUUGGUUGAAGGCCCCAAAACGCAAGGAACUACAAUCUGUGGUGUAUGCUCCAUUCAAGGACACCAAUCUGAUCAAUGCCCUAAAUUAAUUGAGAAUGGAGGAUGGGAAUCGGCCAAUGCUGUGGGUUAUGGGAAUCAAAACCAACCAAGGAAUGAUCCUUUCUCCAAUACAUACAACCCGGGAUGGCGUGAUCACCCCAAUUUCAGAUGGAGAGAUGCACCACAAUAUGGCCAACAAAGUGGAUUCCAACAACCCCCGAGUUUCUUUCCAAGGCCAAUGGAACCACAACCACCUCCUCAGGCACAAUCUUCCCAAACUAACCCAGGUACGUCUAUGAAUGAUGAUAAAACAUAUCAGUUACUAACCACCAUGGCGCAGGGAAUGCAGAACCAAGCAAAGGAGGUUAAUGAGCUGAAGAAGCAAAUGGGCCAAAUGGCCGAAUUUUUGGGGCAAUUACGUGAAAAUGGUAAGUUACCAAGCACUACGGUGGUCAAUCCAAAGGGUGGCUUCGAAUCUGCAAAGGCUAUCACAUUACGAAGUGGAAAAGAGGUGAGAAACAAGGAAGAUGAGAAGAUACAACUCGAAGAAGAUGAGAACACCUACCCCACGGCAAGGGUACCAUCACCCAUGCCGCAGCCAUCUAAGACAUCCCAUCCGUCCACCUCAGGUAAGAAUGUUCCAAAUGUUGUGAUUUCGAACACUAAUCUGCCCAAUGUCCCCUUUCCUAGCAGAUUUUUGCAAUCAAAGAACGAAGAGGAGGAAAAAGAUGUUCUAGAGACAUUUAGAAAGGUGCAUGUCAACAUUCCCCUCCUUGAUGCCAUAAAGCAAAUCCCGAAGUAUGCCAAGUGUUUAAAGAAGCUUUGUACAACAAAGAAACGUGUCCGGGAGAAAGAGGUGGUACAUGUAAGUGAGAAUGUCUCCGCCAUCUUGCAACAUAAACUACCCCCCAAAUGCAAAGACCCGGGAAGUUUUACAAUUCCAUGUGUCAUUGGUAAUACCCGUUUCAAAUCUGCCAUGCUAGAUUUAGGAGCAUCUAUUAAUGUUAUGCCAUAUUCUGUGUAUGCAUCUAUGAAUCUAGGAGCACUUAAACAUGAUGGUGUAAUCAUACAAUUGGCCGAUAGAUCUAACGCUUAUCCAAAGGGAGUUUUGGAAGACGUUUUAGUGCAGGUUGAUCAUUUAGUCUUCCCAGCGGAUUUCUAUGUCCUCGAAAUGGAUGAAUCGGACCAUGCCCCUUCAUUGCCCAUCCUCCUUGGAAGGCCAUUCAUGAAAACGGCUCAAACGAAGAUUGAUGUGGCCAAAGGAUUAGUCACUAUGGCAUUUGGUGGUGACAUGAUUAGUUUCAAAAUUUCUGAAUCCAUUGAGACUCCUAAUGUUGUUCAUUCUUGUUGUGCCAUUGGUAAAAUUGAAAAGAUAAGACCGGACCAUUCAGCACCAAGCACGAAGGAUGCAUCAAGAACCAUGCAAGACGAGGGAAUUGGAGUGGAGUACAAGGACCAUACGGCCACUGCCCUCAAAAUGCUCAAAGUGGCCGAAAGCACCAUGGGGAAGAAUGUUCACAUUGCUGCCACUUCAUCACAUCACAUAGGUAAGCCACCUAAUCCAAAUCCAAUGCCAUUUAAAGUUGAUAGGUGGUUCCCUUCUUUGGUGCAGGUACCUAAGCAAAUCCCCGAUGGUGGGCGUAUGAACAUGAACCUUAGACAACACAACGCACCCAUCAACAAACAUCACUAUCCAUUUCCGUUCAAGGAUGUAAUCUACGAGAACUUUGUGGAGCAUGUUGUGGAGGAUAUCCCACUGCAUGCCGUGGGUUCCAAAGAGAUUUGAAGGUGUUCAUCGUCCGGCUGGAAGACGUUAAAGCAAGCGCUUUAAGGGAGGCAACCCAUUUAUUCUGCCUGAUUGUCAAUUUUAUUACUUGUUUAAUUAUUUUUUGGUUAUGAUUUUCUAUUUUGAAAAUAUUAACAAAUAUGCAAGGGAUUUUUUGACAUUAAACUUCAUGAAAUGAACAGGAAAUCUGGGAAAUAAAGAAACAUAACAUAAUACAAGAGGAAGAGCCUUCACAAAGGCUGCUUGGGAGAGGUCGUAGUAGUCGGCGGAGUCGCAGUAGUUGGCGGAGUCUCAGUAGUCGGUGGGGCCACGGAAGGAGGAGGUAUCAGAGGUUGAUCAGUUGGAGCUUCACUGCGCGGUGCUGCCCCAGAAGACGAAGGCAGAUGCUGUUGGAACAAACCCACAAACCUCCGGUGAUCAAGUAAAAUCUGACCAUCAGUUUCCUGCAGC